rnacentral:lncRNA from 1 species
CCACCAAACGUACUCCUCUCUCCUCUCUCUUUCUCUCUGCGCAAUGCCAUAACUUCAUUGGACACCGCCUGUCCUGCUAUACCCACCCAAAUAACUUUUUUCUUUUUUCUGUUUCUAGUUAUUAAUGUUUAAAUUGAUAACUUAUUAGUUUUCAGAUUUUAAUAGUAAUUUUUAACAUUAAUGUAUUAAGAAUAUCUCCAAAUAAGAUGCCAAAAUAUUCAAAUUAGCAAUAAUAAUAAAAAAAGACAACUACAAUAUUUUUCAACCGAAAAAUUAAUUCUAAUAUGAUACGACAUGGAAUAUCAACUCUUCCCUUACUGUCAAAUUUGACAGCAGCGUCGAAUAUUUUUUUUAUUAAUUUCUUUAUCUGCAACUCUCCUCCUUCAAUGGCGCCCAUGGCCGCCGAGCGUCUCUCUCUCUUCCCCACUCUCUCCCCAAUAACUUCACAGCCGGAUCACUCUGCGAAUUCCGAUCCCUCCUCCGAUCUCCCUCAAUGUCCACCGCCGAACAACCCCCCACCCAGAAGGACUUGAACCAGACCAGACAACAAAUCCGAAACCCGAAUCCGAAUCAGGACUAGUGCCAGAGCCUGAAGCUAAACCGGAGCCAGCGCCUGAACUCGAAGCUGAACCAGCACCGGCGCCAUUAAAUCGGAACCGGUGCCCGAGCCCGAAGAUAAACCCGAGCUAGUGACGGAAAAAUGCAGAAAAAAAAUUCUAUUAGCUAACUAAAUGACUAGCCAAAUAUAUUUAGAAAACUUCAUUUUAAUCUUGAAAAAUGAUGAGUUUAAAAUGUAACUUUAUGCUCCUGAUACAUUUAAUCAUCUCAUUGAUUAAUUAUAUUUUGAUGUUUCAUUUCUCUUUUUUUUUUUCUUCUAUUUUUAAUGUAUUAAUUACAUUUAAAUUUUCAUUUUCAUUUUAUUCAUCAUAGUAGGGGCCGGGUUAUGAAAAGGGAGAUUUUGUUGUAGGGCUGACUAGGAAAAAUGAAGGAAUCGGUGUCCAUUUCGAGCAGAGAUUGUGGCGAUGAGAGAAUCGGCUAAAUUGGUAAAGGGUUGGGAUUGAUCAUUGGUGGCUCAAGUUAUUGUCCUAUAGAGAGAUGGAGAGACGGUGGGGGAAAGAGACAAACGGGGUGGAGGCAGGGGAAAGGUAGCUGGUUUUUUUUUCUCUUUUUUGAGCUAUAUUAUAAUAAAUAAAUAAGUGUUAAAAAGUUGUUUUAUAAAAGGAUAAACAUGUCAUUAAUAUUUUUAUUAAAAUGUGGGUGAGAAGAUAGGACAAUGAAAUAGGUUUAUCAGCACUAAUAACAAAAAUAUAAUAUAAAUUUUAGUAAAAGUACACUUCAAGGGAUUAAAUUGAAAAUGUAAUCUAGCACUAUGGUUUUUUUUGUUUUUUUUACAUUUAAUCUUUUGCAAGUACUAAUGUUAAAAAUCCCUAAUUUUAACUAGAAGGAGAGAGAUAGUUACAUUUUUUGCUAAACAUUAAAAACUAUAAAGAGAAAUGCUAAGAGGACUUUCUCAAAAGUGAGACUCCCAAAAGUGGAAUUAUCCAUGGACUUUACCUCACCUCAUAUUUUAGCACAAUAUUUUAUAAUGUUGGCACAUAAAUCGAUGUUAAAUUGUAAGAUGAUAGAGUUCAUGAAAAGUUCCACUUUUGAGAUGGUUACCCCCCCUCCCCCACAGUGUUUCUCAACUAUAAAAUUGCAUGGUUUGGCGACUCCAAUUGCUACCUGUUGUCUACGUUUGUUUUGGCAUUUAAUUUCUUCUAAGUGAAGCAAAGUUCAGAGAGAGAGAGAGAGAGAGAGAAAAUAAUGGCGAUCAGACCGCACUAUGAAGAUGAAGUGUACGAGGCAUCACGGACCGGGAGUGUAGAAUCCUUAAACAGGUUGAUCGAAAAAGACCCAGACAUUCUAUGGAGAGUAUCCCUGCAGACCGGCAAAAUCGGAACCCCUUUGCAUGUUUCGGCUUUGCAUGGCCACACUGAGUUUACCAAAGCCCUUUGCACUAACAAUCCCAAACUUGCAGAGGGGGUGGACGCCGAUAGACGCACGCCCCUGCACUUGGCUUCUGCACUUGGCUUCUGCAAGUUUUUUUGUUCUAAUUUCCGGGCUUAACAAUGCAAGACUGGAAUUUGCAUUUGGUUCAAAGAAGUAAGAUAAACUGAUAAGCAAAACCAACAAAAAAAAAGAAUAUAUUCCAAUUUGAUUAUCCGUUCAGGUUCAAAAAGACAAAACGAAGAAUAUUUUUAAGCAUCCAAACAUCAGUUAAAACUAAACAAUUAAAAGCAAUAAAACUAAAGCAUUUCAUUGAAGACAUAGAUAACAUAUUUGAUUCUUUGUACCUAAAAUGGAAAACAUUUGCUUUCCUCUAUGCUCUAAAGUUUGCAUAAGUGUUGGAAAAUUACAAUAUAUAAAGAGACAAUCUCAAAAUAAAACACAAUUGAAGGAAAAGUAAUAAGAAUAGAAAAUAGUGUUUUUUUACGUAUGAUCCAUGUGAGGAGUAGAAUUUACAAUCACAAUUGACAACCCAAGAGCUCUGUAAAUCAAAUAUAUAGGAAAAGAUAAAAAAAAAGUGAAUUACAGAUUCUCAAAUCAGAGAGUAACAUUUAUUUGAAAAGACUCAGACUCAUUUUGGAUAUAGAUAAACAAUGGCAUAUUAAAAACCAAAAUGAUAAGGCAUUCAACAUUCAACAUUCAACAUUUCACGUAAAAAAAAAAAAUGAUAUACAUGUUAUCCAUCAAUGUUUUGGUAACAAAUUCCCAAAUUGCUCUAUCUACCAAACAUUUGCAGAUCUAUAGUUACAAAUGUUUGCUUUUAUGAUAUUCAACCCAAUACCCACAUUAUUGGCAAAACCAUAUUAUAUGGAUCUUUUGAGCACUAGAGCCAAUGACAAUAACAUUGAAGGCAACUACAAAAAUUGUACAUUAUAUAAAGAGGCAAUCUCAGAAUUAGAAUGCAUUUCAAAGAAAAGUAAUAAGAAAAAAAUAGUGGUUUUUGCCUAACUCCAUGUGAGGAUCAAAUUUUCAGUCACAAUUCACAACCCAAGAGCCCUAUAAAUCAAAUUUACAGCAAAAGAUAAAAUAAGAAAGGUAAAUUAUAGUUCUCAAGUCAAAAAGUAACAUUUAUUUGAAAAGAUUAUUAUGGAAAUAGAUAAACAAACAACGACAUUAAAAACCAAAUUGAUAAGGCAUUCAACAAUCAACAUAACCCACGAACCCAAAAACACCAAACCAUCAAUCAUGGAUCUUUACAAAUCAUACAACCUUUUUAUAAAAUAAAAAAAAAAAAAAAAAGUCAAAAUCAAUAUUUUAUGGCUACAUUUUUUCAUCAGUCAAUCAAUACACACACACAACACAGAAUCACAUAAUCGACAAAAUUCAAAUCCAUAAAUCCGAAAUUAGCAAUGUUAUUUCUUACCCCCCCCCCCCAAAAAUCCAAAUCUUUGUGGUUACAUUCAUUAGUCAAGCACUCAACCACUCAGGCACAUCGACUAUAACUUGGGAAUGUUAAGCAAAUCUUAGGCAGCUUGAAUCAUUAAAUUUGAGUUGGAAGAAGCUCUGACCCUCUGUUACUUGCUCUGCUAGUUGAGGAGUGUCACCAAAUUUGGCAUUAUCAUCAGCAUCAACACAUUUCACACACUCCCGCUUCACAAAAUCGAAAACCAAAUGAGAUUAUGUAGCAUAAAAGAUUGACAGAAAAAUAGGUUAAGAAAAGCAAUUAAUAUUAAAUAUAGAGGAUGAAUGAUGUUGUCCAAUAAAUAAGAUAGUUGUAUAUUUCUCGACCGUGAGAAAACAUCAAAUUAAUAGAGGCAUUAAUCCUAAGUUUGCCAUUCAUUGUUGUCGGUCUAAACUUGAUGACAUAUUGUAAAGUCCUCUUACAUACAGAUUAAUGAAAUAUUAAUUUAUUUCCAUGAGUUAUUUGAUUUUGCAAAUUUAAAAUAAUUGAAGAAAUACUGAAAAUUACUAAACCCCAUCACAAAAUCCCAUUAGUGAAAAAUCAAAGACAAAAGUAACUUACAGUUGUUUAUAGAGCAUAUCCAUAUCUUUCUAAGCAUCCACAGAUAGCAUACCCAAAAUACCAAAUUCAACUCCAAUAUAAUAAAAAAUUAAAAAACAAAUUAGCCAAAUCAGAAUAGUUAGAUCAAAUAAAGAUUUAAGUCAACCAAUUACACAAAAUAAUUCAUGCAAAGUGGGCUCCUAGGAAAAUAUACCACUAUGGUGGUGGAGGAGGCCCAGGCUCAAAUAGCGGAGGACAGCAGCAUUUAAAUAUACCGCAACAGCACAGAAUCCACGAACUGCUUAAUCAAAACCAAAAUUUUAAAAUUUAUAUUUAAAUUUAAAUUUGAAAAAAAAAUGCAGUAGAAUUGUAUAAUGAGAAAUUCUCCAAUGUGGAUAAAUUAAUCUUGCGAGAUGCGAUCAGUUGUAUUGGGCUGGCAACCGGCUUAUGCUCAAACCCCACUAAAUUUAUCAUACACCCUUCCAACUAAAAUUCAAAGGAAGAAGUUCCAAGUCCAUGCAUAAUGUUUGCUCAACUAAAAUAAAUUGCUUUUCAUGAUUAAAAUAGCCAACCAACCAACACUCAUUUGAUAAAAUUGAACAUUUGGAGUUACAUAUCCACAUAUUCCACAGAUUUAAGAUCGAACAAAUUUAUAACAUUUUGACAAAAUUUCUCCUUAUCUUUUUCAAUAUUUACAUCAUCUGUUCCGUCCUGUUCCGUCCCGUCCCGUCCCAUCCUGUUCCAUCCCGUCUCAUUCCGUUUCGUCCUGUCUGCGUACCAAACGAUACCUUAAGAAACAGAAAAAACAUGCAGUUCACAUAUCUAAUGUGUCCUGGAGUGUAGACAGUCAUUUCAACAGGUAAUUAAAAACAGAAACUGUUGCGGACUUGUUCAAGUAACUAAUUUUGUAAUCAGACUGCCUCAUAUCAUGACCCAACCCUGCAAGGGCACCGACACCGACACCAGACUACCUCCCUAGAAAUCGGCCCUAAAAGCCCAUAAGCAUACUUCCCUCACCCAAUAAAUCUUCAUGGACAUGUUGCAGAGAAAAGCACACAUAAGUAACACGACAGCAUGAAAUAAACAAACAUUCAUAGAAGAAGUUUCAAAUUUUACCUGUUGAUCAAGCAACAGCCCCAAUUCAAAGGUCAACCCCUUCUCUAUAUCACGCAAACAUCAUUCAUAUAAGAAGUUUGAGAUUUCUACUCUACAAUAUACAAAUUUAUUCAAUUAGAAUCAAACUAAUAAAGGAAGUAAUAAGAUGUUACAGUGUUGCCUCAUCAACCAUUUUCUGAAUGUCAUAGUUAUAUUGCCUUGCUUUAAACCCACAUAGCGAUGGCAAAGGCAUUUGCUCAGCCAGAUAAAACCCUGCAAAGACAAAAAUCCUUGAAAAUCAUUAUAUUAUACUACAUCUCUAUCAAACAGUAGUACAAUUUUCUUUUGUUUUUGCAACUUGAAGUUUUAAACCAACGACCUCCAAUCGUUAUGCUUAUACCUACUUUGGUCAGCACAAUGAUUAACUCAGUAACAUGCAUAGGGGUGUGAGUGUGUGUGUGAGAGAGAGAGAGAGAGAGAGAGAGAGAGAGAGAGAGAUAGGGAAAAUAAAACAAACAAACAAUAUGAAAAAAAAAAGUUUAAAUUUUGAUGGUGCUUUCUAUGCCAAAGAUAAGAUGAAAGAAAUCUUAGCAUGUGUACCUGUUCAAGUAGAGUGAACAAAGAUUUUAUACAAACAACAAAAUUAGCAAUUUGUAAAUUUAUUUUUUCAUGCCAUACAGUUUUUUUUGAGAAUCGAGUAACAUAUAUUUUUGGACAUAUUGGUUCUCUGCGUGAAUAAACUGAAGCUGUAACCCUCCUUUUCUGUGGAAUACUUCUCUAACUGCAAUAGCAGACAAACUGAAGAUGAUGGGGACUAUUGAAUUCUUGAAAAUAGCAUGAAAUUUUGAAGCUUUACAAAGUGUAACAAUAAAACUGCGCCCCAUGGAGAAACCACAUAAUUCACUAACUCAUAAUACAUUCCAAUUCUAACAAAUAUAUAUGAUAACUAUACUGCAAAAAACAAAAAGAACUUCAAUGAAAAACAAAAGCAGCACAAUGAAAAAUCACCUUCGACAAACACUCGAUCAAAUAAGGUCAAACCGAAUCAAAAUCUUCAAAACUAAAAAACCGUGACUGCAAAAAACAAGAACAAAAUCUAAACCGAAAUAAAUUCAAAAACACACAACACUUCAAAAACCUAAAUCGGAACACAUAAAAUUUAGAGAAAUAAACUUGAGAGAUUUGAAUAGAAAUUAUGGCGAGAGAUAAUUAAGGGAGAUGGCGAAAUAUAAAUCAGAACAUAUAAACUUCAAAGAGAAAGAAAAACAGCAGAGAAACGAAAAUAUAAUUUGAAUGAUUCGAAUCACCACCGAUCGCUAUUUAACAUAAUACGUAAUUCUGUUUCUAACGAAAAAAUCGGACAUGACUUCAUCUUACGCGGAUUUAAAACAUGUCCUUUCUUGAAAUGUUUAAAAAGUGUUGUCUCAACAUAUAAUUAAGUAUUGAAAGUAUACUCUAAGUAUAAUUUUUCCCUAAAUAUAUGAGUACAAAUUUAAAUUAACAAGAAAAUUGGUAAAGAUUAAAAAAUAGGUGCAAAUUAAAAAAUACAAAUAUAUGAUACAAAAAUUUAACCAUAUAAAUAUACCAAAGUGUAACGUUUUGGAAAUGUUUAAUAAUUUUUAAGUAUAAAAUUUAAAUAUGCUAACAUGUAAAUCUAUUGUUAUUCAAAUUAUAACACGAUAAAAACUAAAGGACCUUAAUCAAAAGUUAAAAAAGAAUAAGGUUUCAAUUACUAAAUUGGAAAAAUGAUAUAUUGAAACCUAAUUUCUCUUUUUUUUUUUUUUGGGUAAAUUGGUUUGGAGUUGAUUUCAAUUAUUUACAACAUCUUUAAAACAUUUCACUUUCGUACCUCACGUACUAUUUUAUUUCAAUAUAAUACAUUCGUUACAUUUUCCAUCAAUUUCGCGUAGUGAUCUUGCUUCCACUUUUAGAGAUCUUUCAUGAAAGAACUAAAAUAAUUAAUAAUGGACAAAUUCAGAAAAUAAAGAUUAAAAUAAGAAGUUAUAUCAAUUUCAAUAACUAUUUAACCUAAAAAAAAAAAAAAAACUUUAUCGGCGCAUGUUUGGCGCAUCUUUGAAAGCUGCAGAGCAGCUUCCCAUUCAUUUCACGUGGUGAUCUUGUUUCCCACUCAAAAGUUCGGCUGGGCUCCACUCCAUUUUGAGUCACUCACCGAUCCUUUUUUGUGGGAAUUUUUAUUAUACCAUGUCCUGUCGAUCUUCUGACCCAUUGGAAGACUUCGGACAUUUAUACUAUUGCAGGGACAAAAUAGAGAACACCAUUAGAGAUGCUCUCAGAGCUACCAGCAUGCAUGUAGGAUGGGAAUUGGUCUUGUUCGUCCAUAAUUUAAAAGUGAGAGGUAUCAGAUUAUGGCACCUUGAAUGCAGGAUGGGGACUGGUCUUGAUCGUCCAUAAUUUAAAAGCUCCACACGAGCUUUAACAGUUAGAAAUUUAGCAUCAGUGAAUCACCUUAAAGAGUCUUUUUGUAAUUACCUCUAAAAUAGCUACACGUAUUAAGUCAUGUGAGCAUGAAUCACCUUAGGCUGGGUGUUAUAAAAAAAUUAUUUUUUGGAAGGGUUAUACAAUCUCUAACAACCUAGAUGAAUGAGAUUUUUUGGCUACUUUAACAAAACAAUGCAGAAAAAAUAGCACGCUAAAUUUAGCAAGAGGAGAAUAUGGACUUAACUGGAUAAGUUUAGGGGUAAUGUUAGGCAAAUUAAUUUUUAAAAUCAAAUUUGUAAAAUAUGUGAUAUGUUAUCAAUAGAAAAUAAACAAGUUAAUUAAUACUUAGAUAAUAAUCUAAUAACGGUACAAAAAUUAUAAAAAAAAAAACUAAUUGAAAGAUAUGCAAAUACCAAAGUUUCGUUAAGAGUACUCACUAUCGCAAUCGAGCGCUUCGAGUUUUAUUUCCUUUCCCCUAUAUCACUUGUACAAAAAAAACAAUGGUGAACCAUAACGCACACCACGUAAAAAUCACCCUUAUCCAUCAACAAGUAACAUCUAAGAAUCUCUUUAUAUAAUAGCAUCCACUGUCCUCUUCAAGUUUCUCCUUUUGUCCAUUACAAAAGUUGGUGAUGAGGUCUGACCAAAAGUAAAGAAUUUGGUGGAUGCUAAGAUAUUAGAAACUAGUACUGUUCUAAUGAAUUAUUAAUAGAGCAUAUUUAAUAAUAUAAGCAAACAAAAUACGUAAAACUAUACUGUAGAGGUAAACGUGGUCUGUUGCACACUCAAUUGCCUCGUGAAAAAAGUUUGUCAUUUUAGUAGAUUAGGCAAAUCAAGUAGGCAAAAUUAAAUUUUAUUAUUUUCUUUGAUCUUAACGUUUAUUUUACCUUUUAGCAUUACCCCAAGAUUUAGAAAUAUUUUACCAUACAUUAAAAUAGCUAAUAUUAUUAGAAGUGGUGGCUAGCCAAAUUAACAUUUGAGUCAUUUAAUUAGCUACAAUAACAAAAAUUUAACUAGCAUUAUUGGAAAUACUUUUGGAAGUGCUCUUCUAACAAUCAAAAAGACGUUUUGUUCGCUAUUAUAAAUAAUUGCUCUCUAAAAAAAUUUCUAAGUGAAGCAAAGUUCAGAGAGAGAGAGAGAGAGAGAGAGAGAGAGAUAAUGGACAUCAGAUGGCAUGAUGAAGAAGAAGUGUACGAGGCAUCACGGACUGGGAGUGUAGAGUACUUAAACAGGCUGAUCGAAAAAGACCCAGACAUUCUAAGGAGAGUAUCCCUGCAGACCGGAAAAACCGGAACCCCCUUGCAUCAUUGCAUGUAUCGGCUUUGCUCGGACACGCUGAGUUCACCAAAGCCCUUUGCACUAAAAAUCCCAAACUUGCAGAGCGGGUGGAUGCCGAUGGACGCACGCCCCUGCACUUGGCUUCUGCUGAGGGCCACAAGGAGACUGUCGAAGCUUUGUUAUCUGUGUAUGCUGAUGCGUGCUUGCGUUGCGAUGAAAAGGGAAGAAUCCCUCUUCACUAUGCAGCCAUGAAUGGAGAAGUUGAGGUGAUCCAGAAGUUGAUUGAUAUAAAUCCUGAGUCCAUUUAUGUCAAAGUUGAAAAAGAAACAGUUUUGCACUUGUGUAUUAUACACAACCGGUUAGAGUGCUUGAAACUGUUGGUUGAAAGAGACGACAGUAAUGGCGAGUUCCUCAACUCAAGAGCUGGCUGCUGCGAUGGUAGUGUGACCAUCCUGCACUUAGCUUUGAUGCUAAGACAAAUUAAGGUACGUAUAUAUAUUUCCAUUUUCUAUACUGGAUAUUCUUAGUUUUUUACCAUAUUAAUUAAUAUAUGUUCAUGUGUAAAUUUUUUUUCUUUUUUUUUGUUUCUUCCCCUUUAUACAUAUGGGAUUAAUCUUAGUUUAUUACUAUGAAGUUUUUAGGUUUUCAACAUUUGAUACAUUAAGUUUUUUUCGUCCUAAUUUAGUACUUAAAGUCAUAAUUAAUUAUGAGACAUUUUCAUACAUCCUCUAAAUUUUCUGUUAAAACCUCUAUUAAUUGAUAACGUGGCACUCACUUAGACAAUAAUUGGAUGUCACACGUCAAUAUGAGCUCACGUGGAUAUUACUAUCUCCCUCCCUUCGACUGCACAUGGGCGGCGGUGGAAUGAAUCCGCUCCCUUCCCCAUAUCUGCAACCCACUCCCUGCCCUUAUCUCCCGUGUUUCCCGUAGAGCUUGUCGAUAGCUUGGUCCUCUGCACAUCCAGAUCCUCCACAAAAGGCCAGCUGCACAGACCUCCUUUUCUUUUAAAUGAUCUUUAGGUUUUGAGGAUUUUAGUUUUUUUAUUUUUUUAAUGUUUAGUUUUUAAUUGAUCUUCACUAAAAUCCUCAUUUACAUGUCGUCUAUAUUGACAUGUAGCAUCCAAUCAUUGUUUAUGUAGAUGCCACGUCAUCAAUUAAUGAAGAUUCUGAUGAAAAAUUUAACGGAUGUAUGAAAGUCUUCCAAAAUUAAUUAUAACUUUAAGUACCAAACUAGACGAAAAAAUCUUGAUGUAUCAAGUGUUGAAAACCAAAAAACUUUAGAAUAGUAAAUUGAGAUUAACUUUAUGUGUGCGCUUUCUCUUGUUUGUUUGUUCCCCUAGGAGCAUAAUAAUAGAGUGUAUAUAUUAUUUACAGACGACACGUUACCUGCUUUCCGUUGAUGCUAUAAGAGCAGAAGCAAUUGGUGUGAAUGGGAUGUCUCUGACCAUGUUAGAUAUCUUAGAGUACAGUAGCGUUGCAAGAGAGGACUUUAGCAGAAGCUUAGAAAUUCAACAGAUUUUGAUAGACGCAUGAUUAAUCAGAAGACAAAAUAAUGAAAAUGAUAAUCCUAACUCAGCUGUUGCCGCUGCUGCUGUUGUUGUAUCGCCAAGUCCAAGAACGGUAAAGAAGAAAAAGAAGGGAUCAAAGCCACCAGGGUGGUUCUGGAGAAAAUUGAUGAUAUGGUUAGGAUAUCCGCAUGAAUGGGUGAAGGAGACACGUGACUCUCUGAUGGUUGUGGCUACGGUGAUCUCGACCAUGACUUUUCAAGACGUAGUCAACCCAGCUGGUCGUCUUUGGGUUGAUAAUCUUACAAAAACUUGUAGAACAGUUUGGAGGGAAAAUAAUGAUACAGACACUACCUUAGGCCACAGUAAGGAUCCCAUGGAUUACUUCCCCAGCUUCAUAGAACACAACACCGUCUCGUUCUUUGCUUCUUUGACUGUCACUCUUUUGCUCAUUAGUCGAUUUCCUCUCCACAAUCGGUUGUCCACAUGGCUCUUAUCGAUGUCCAUGUGCGUCACUCUCGCAUUCUUGGCACUCACCUACCUAACGGUGCUGUCCAUGAUCGGCCCUAAUUACGGUAUUCAGGAACCAUGGAGCUUGUCAGCAAUAUUCAUAAUUCUUUGGAUUGUGUUGCUGGUCAUAGGCGGUGUACUUCACACUCUCCGGUUUCUUAUUUGGGUGAUGAAGUGGUUGCGGCCCAUGUACUUCAAGUCAACAUCAGGUCUCAAGAACAUGAUCACUACUGGCUCAUUUUCACGUAAAGAUCCAACGCGUUUUGAAGAGAAUGAUGCGCCUACAGUUGUGUGAUUAAUCUGCCGCGGUGUGUUUGCUUGAAAAAAUAAUUAACUAGGUCAUACACCCUGUAUGCAUGUAGCAAUUAGGGUUUAGGGUAAUGAACUAGGUCAAUGACGUUUUCUUGAUCCGGGUUGGUAAUUCAAGAGUGUUGCUUAGUUAUGAUAAGUAAUCCAUCUGCUAUGUAAAUUAGAAGUGUUUGUUGUCUUUAAUUUGAUGCUGGACGGUAGCUACUUUUUUAUUAUUAUUCAUUUAUGUCAUUUGUUAUCACAUUAGCAAACUAACAACUGUUCUCAUUCCCUCUGGUAGUAGUUUGUUAUUAGUUAAUACAGUAUAAAUGGCUUUCUCAAAAAAAAAAAAAAUUACAGUAUAAAUAGCUAAACAUAGUCUCAUGAUUUGUUUGGAAGUGCUUUUAAAAUGAUUAAAAGCGUUUUUAGAGAAAAAUUUGUGAGUUCAAAAGUACUUGAAGUGCUUCAUGUGUUUCUUCCAGGAAGCAUUUCAUGCGCUUUUUCAAAAUUCACUUGCGUUUUUACUAAGGAUUAGUUCCCAAAACAAUGUCACCAAAAACGUUUCAGUCAUUUUAAAAACACUUCCAAAUAAACGCUUGCACAAAUAUUCGCUUCUCUUGUAUGGUCAUUCAAAUUCCAAGUGAGAUCACCUAAAAAAUUUCAUAACAUAUCACAUUGAUUUCAUAAUAACAUGUAUGCUUACUCAUCAGAUUGUUCAUUAAACAACUUCCUACUACUUAAUUAAGAAAAUCGAUAAUAUCAUCAACGGAAACUACAAGCCCUAACUUGGUCUUGCUCCUUAGCCAAGUAAUAGUACUUCUAGUUCUAGUUUCUCACCGUAGUACACACUGGUAGAAGAAUUUGGGGCCAUGUUGAACUUGAGGAUGACUUGAGGCCGGCCCGUACUGAAAUAGAAUUGAAAUGUCGUUUGGAGGCGAAGAGUCAUAAAAGCUCAAGAGCUGAGCCUUUGGUCUCACAGUGUCUUUAUGCCUUAUAUCAUGAACAACCACAUCACAUGAUUUAUAAAACAUGGUUUAAAUAGAAAGUUUUUAUAGCAUUACCCAUUAUGUUGUAGGGUAUCUGUCCUUAUUUUCCUUAUAUUAAUAAUCAUUUUCUUUAAAAUAGCCAUUCAUAAGUACCAUCAUAUAAUAAAUUCAUAACCAUACAAACUUCAUUUUUCUUGGAUUUUUGAGAUGUUUCUAAUGCCUUGAAUCUUGCAGAUUCAUCUUUUCCAGCGUCAAGCGAUCAGUCAUUGCUUUAACAACAAAGUACAUUUGAGCUACAUCAUCUUUUCGACCAAAACUAAACUACAUUCAUCAUUUUCUUUUUGUUUUUUUACGUUGUUUGAGCAAAAGAAUAGUGAUUCGUAUUCGAAGUAAAAGUUGUGACCGUACAUCAUGUUUGUCUUGAAGGACAGACAUGAUAUGGCCUAGAGGACAAUAAUGGUGGAAUAUGCAUUGUAGGUAUAGGUGAAGCCACCAGUCUAAAUUACUCAAGAGUGGAGGAAAUAUGUUCAAGAUCAAAUCACAUUGAGCUGAGGACAAGAGCUAAAACACAACUUGAAAUUUCGACUAAACUUCGCUUUUGAAGGACACUGCUCGACACAACUAACAAGACAUUCCUACUCACAUUCCGAAAUUAGAAUCUUAACAUAUAUAAAAUAACUCAUUAAAAUCACAUAAAAUAAAGGUAAUACACACACGUUAAACUAUAUAUAAUUUGUCUAUGAAUAUAAAUAACUUCUCUAUGUUAAUUUCAAUAACUUAGGUUAAAAAGUCGGUUGCAGCCUUGCAGGCUAAUUGUUCACAAAAAAGUGGUACAUGAAAGUAACUUGGUAAGGUAAGGUCCCCCAUUGCACAGUGUUAGAUUCUAAGCAACCACUAGCCAAUUGCUAACGACAUGCAGGUAGUCUCUCUCUCUCUCUCUCUCUGGUUAGGUGAAGGGGACAACACAGAAGCUCAUGACAUGGUGAAUUAGGUCAUGAAAAACCAACGUUAAUCCCACAAAAGUUUGGAUGCAAGUCCAAAAGGUUAACAUGAGAGAGGGACAUGCAGUCACUAAUCAACUUUUAAGCAUCACAUAACUUCGUACGCAUCAAGAUCUUAUGAUUCUUCACUUUCUUGAUGUUUUGCUUUUGGCUUCCGAAGAUCACAUGGGAAAGUGAUGGUCCCCUCUCUUUGUACAUUCCUCUCUGCAAUUAUGACGGUUGGACAUCUAGUGCCAUCACCUUCUACAUUGGGUGAGAGACUCGCAUGAAAUGAGGAUGCUAAGAUAUCGAAGUCCCAAAUUCAUCACGUAAUAGUUUAUUUCAUAUAAGUCAUUCUUCAUUGCUGAUUUAAACGAUUUAUAUUAAAGAAUCCCACAAGAAAAUGUAGCAAUACAUUUAAGUUAUGUUCUCUGGAUCACUUGAUAACUAAGGGUUUAUGGUCACCCUUAAAUUUGAUAUUAAGAGUUGAGAUUAAAACAUUAAACGCAUGUUCAUUUAUUAUCCACCAUGAAUAACCCAAGGAUAAGUAACCAUACAUUCUUUUUAAUCACCUAAGGACCUAUAUAUUUGUACAAUGAGUGAUGCUAGGGAAAUCAUAUUUUGCAGACAAGUCUACCUCUACUCGAGAAAUGAUUCAACUGCAAAUCCCAUGACUCAAUUAUCAUGUAGAGUGGCCUUCAUAACUCAUAAAUCAUCACUAAAAUUUUGAUGAAAAAAAUGAUGAACUUCAUGAUUGGCAAUUGAUGAAUAUAUAGUAGAAAACAUCUUCAACUUUCCUCACAUAAAAGACAGUUAAAAAUAAGACAAAAUAAAUGGUGUCAAAUUAGGGUUUAGAUUGAACAUUGUUUGUGAGACAUGGGAAGCAAAUUAAAGGUGUUUUUGCAGAGGGAUUAAUGGAGGUGAGGAGAGAUAAGAGUGCAUGAACAGAGAGGCAAAGAAUGGCCGGUCCAACUUUAACUACCAGGCUCAGGGGUUCCUUGGAGUAACUUUAAAGUCUCUCUCUCUCUCUCUCUCUCUCUCUCUCUGCAAUACCUUCAUUGCACACCACCUAUUCUGCUACACCCACUCAAAGAACUUUUUCUUUUUCCUUUCCUUUUCCAAAUAAGUGAAUAAAAAGAAGAUGAUUUAUAAACAGAAAGUUAGAUUGCUGCUUUGAUGAUUUUUGGGUUGAGAGAGAGAGAAAAAUGGGAUACAUUUUCUCUCAGAUUGUCCUCCUCAUGAUUUUUGUCAUCAUAUCUUUUCUCAUAUCAUUACACAAUGCAGAGGAGGACUACUUGAAUGUUCAUGGCCUACAACACCACCUGCAUUUCAUGGAGGACAAUGCCGACGCUCCCCAAAACCUACAAAUGCACAAAGGUUCCGGGGAAGAUGAAGAGAAUGCAGUUUCAAUUGUCGAAAAUUUCGGAGCUUUACUUGGUUUGAACAGCUUCCACAAGCGAACGCCAUCGGUUGGCGACAGUAGAAACGUUUCUCCUUCCCCUUCUCCAAUUCCCUACUGCGAGGAGGAAGCUCCUAGUCCAGCUCCUGCUCCUGCUCCGGCGCCUCACAUCCACGCGGGUUCCCAUCAUCCGCAUCGCUUGCAUUCGAUCACAAAGCCUCAAAACAUUCACAGAGAAGAUAGAGGGGGAAUCACGAGGAUACUUGUGGCGGUUCUUGCUUCCACAGGAGCUGCAGUUGUUAUCUGUGUGUUCGGAAUUAUUUGGGGUUGCAGGAAGCACAGAAAGCAUAAGAAGAAACCCACGAGAGUGAUUUCAGUUUUCGGAAAAAAAGGAGGAGCUAAAUCAGCAAGCAAGGUGAGGUUAAAUCCUGCCACUAAUACUUCUGAUCUCAUUUAUCUUGAAUCGUUAGGGUUGGAUUUAGAGCAGCAACAUCAGCAGAUUUCUUGUUCCAAAGAAACUUGUGAAACUGUAACUUCUUCACGAAAUCAUACAUUGCUUGAGAGGGAAGAAACAAAUCAAGAAGUGAUAAAAUCGGAAUUCAAUGAUGCUAGUAGUAGUUCUUCCACUAGGGAAAUUACGUCUAUUCAUGAGGAUAUGAUUGCAGAGUCAGUGAAAUAUGACUCUGAUUGUGCUAAUUCCGCAACCGGUGACAAAAUUACUCUCGUUAAUUCUUAUUCUUCCGAUGAUGAAUCUUUCCAUUCUUUCGGAGAUUCGAAUUCAUCAAAUGUCCGCAUUUCGAAUGCUUCCGCUGGUAGCCUAAAUGAGUCAUCAGACAUUCUCUCCAAAAAUAUGUCAAAUAUAGAACCAGAUCAACCAACAACCCUAAACCAAAAAUCAAUUCCGGCUCUUGAAUUGCAGUCUCAGAGAAAUGGAGAACGCGAAAUUCUGAAUGCACCGCGAUCUUCCAAUUGCGAAAAGAAUGUCACAUUCCCUCCAGCACCACCUCCUCCACCCCCACCACCAAUCAAACACUUUCCUCAUUUCCAUUCUUCUCCUAGUUCAGCUAUAAUUGCGUCUAAAGCUUCGUGCCCUUCUUCUACAUUGCGAAAUCUAUCACCGCCAAGAAAAUCAGAUUCUUCUUCUAGAUCAAACCAAACCCAAGAAGGCGGAUUUUCUGCUUCGCCUCAAAACUCCUCUAGAGCUUCAGAAACUCCACCUCAUGUUCCUCCACCACCCAGCCCACCUCCCUUUUUGAAAGCGAAUAAUGGCUUUUUAAAAUGUCCACCUCCUCCACCCCUCCCUCAAGCUGCGCCAUUGGGAAGAGAUGGAACUCCGUUGCCUAAACUGAAGCCGUUACAUUGGGACAAAGUCAGAGCUGCACCGGAUAAUUCCAUGGUGUGGGACAAGCUGAGAUCAAGCUCAUUUGAGUAAGUUACUUAUGUUUUCAGAUGUGAUUUCGGUUUCUUUUCUUCUUCUUUUUUUCUGUUUAAAACUGCACUAAUCAUGAACAGGUUGGACGAGGAAAUGAUUGAAUCACUUUUCGGAUACAAUCUACAAAGAUCAAUGAAGAAUGAUGAAGCAAAAUGCAAGAGCCCUUCUCCAAGCAAGCAUGUUCUUGAGCCAAAGCGACUACAGAACAUAACCAUACUCUCAAAAGCCCUGAAUUCUACUGCUGAGCAAGUAUGCGAAGCACUAGUACAAGGUAUAUAUGAAACUUCUUGAACGUAUAACUUCUAAAGACAUGACGUCUUGCAGAAAGUGGGACUAGUACUCUAAACAACGAAAACCUAACAAGAUUAAAACAUUAACAGGCAAUGGAUUGUGUUUGCAACAAUUGGAAGCACUUGUAAGGAUGGAACCCACCAAGGAAGAAGAGGCUAAACUCACCGGCUUCAAAGGAGACAUCAAUGAACUAGGGUCCGCGGAGAGGUUUGUGAAGGCCGUGCUUAAUGUGCCUUUCGCCUUCCAACGAGUUGAAGCAAUGCUUUACAGAGAAACAUUUGAAGAUGAGGUGGUUCAUCUCAGGAACUCCUUUUCAGUGCUAGAGGUAGGGCAUGUUCAGGAAUGCUUAUAUAUGAAGCACUUCUGUUUACAAGCGUUUCUGCCAGAUGUGUUUUUUUCAUACAUCAAGAAGCAUAUUUGAAACGAAAAUCUAAUCUCUUUCUUUUUGUAAAAAUUACGGUUUAAUUUGUACUACAGGAGGCCUGCAAGGAACUGCGAUCAAGCAGGCUCUUCUUGAAGCUACUCGAAGCCGUGUUGAAAACAGGAAAUCGAAUGAAUGUGGGAACCAUCCGAGGAGGAGCUAAAGCAUUCAAGUUAGACACACUGCUCAAGCUCUCCGACAUAAAAGGAACCGACGGAAAAACCACCUUGCUACAUUUUGUUGUGCAAGAAAUUAUUAGGACAGAAGGGAUUCGAGUUUCGGAUAGCAUCGUGGGGAGGAUCAGCCAGAAGAACAAAACCAAAACCGUAGAAGAAAAAGAAGAAGACUACAGAAGAAUGGGGCUUGACCUAGUUUCCGGCCUCAGCACCGAGCUCUACAACGCGAAGAAAACAGCCACAUUGGACUUGGAUGUUCUUGCAAGCAGUGUAUCAAAUCUCUCAGAUGGAAUGGAUAAAAUCAAACAUCUGGUGCACGAGGAUUUGUGCAUGGAUGAGAAGAGUGGUAAUUUGGUGGAUUCGAUGAAAUCGUUCAUAUGUUAUGCAGAGAAGGGUUUGAGAGAGUUGCAGGGUGAUGAGAGUAGGGUUUUGUCACAGGUGAAGGAGAUUACAGAGUAUUUUCAUGGAAAUGUGAGCAAGGAAGAAGCUAAUCCGCUUCGGAUUUUCGUGAUUGUUAGGGACUUUUUGGGAAUGUUGGAUCAUGUUUGUAAAGAGCUUAGAAGCUCAAAAGCUCGCACUCCAAAUCCUCUUGCUCCAUUCAAAUAGGCUGUAGAUUUUAAUGAGUUUGUUUUGGUGUGUUUAUAUGAUGGAUUUUCAUUCACUAAGCAACAAUGUAUAACCUGGUUUUGAAUUUUGUACGUAGGGUUUUGGCCUUUAGGCUGUGCUGGGUUGAAUUUCAUACCUAAUUAAAAAAUGAAAACUAAUGAAAAUAGUUUAAAAACUGUGAGUUUUAAUCAAAAUGACAAAAAAGUGUUGUAAGUGAAUGGUACCGGAAGUAUUUCGUUAAAACUUCUAAUUAAAAAUGUGUCAAUUCAUAUUGUCAUAUCUAGGAAUUGUGGCAGGUCGAGUGGGGUCCAUUUUAGUGGAUGUGGACUUGACUUUUUUUUGUUUGUAAACGAGUUCAAGCCCGUCCGAGUUAAUGUAUUUUUAUUACUGGAAUCGCCUCAUUUUGAAUUCAUUUGAUAUGGUCUGGUUCUUAUGGGUUAAAUAGAUCCAUUUUCAAUUAUUUGUAGUAUAACAAAACAACGAUAUAAAACAAUCUCUAUAUGUUUCCGUUAGGAAAGAAUUACGUCUAACAAAGUCAAUACCAACAAAUGUUCUGAAAGAAGUUUGAUUGUUGUUGUACUUCUUAGGGUUUGAUAGAUAUGUAAUUGGAUCAUAGGCUUCAUUGUGGACCAUUAAUAAAAUGACAAGUGCUAAAACAACUCUUAAACGGUCCCGGCCAAGUUACCUGCACAUGAGAAAUAUAGACUUAGUUUUACAGAAGUUGGGUCCAACUCAGACCACUUUGAAAAUUAAAAUAAGGACCGAAUGGUCUUACAUCAGUUUAGGUAACACGGGUCCAAAGACCCGUAUGCCCAUCCUUGGUCAAAUCUACUCUGAUUUAUGAUUUAUGGUGUGUGUUAUAUUGACACGUUUUAAAAGAUUAGAGGAGUUCAUAAUGAAAUAAAAAGCCAAACUGAAAAAUCAAAAGAAAAUCUUCAGCAACGCCACUAAAACUAAAGCUUGGUUAACAGAAUCUCUCCUUCAUUCGGCUUCCACAUGGUCUCAUUUUGGAGAGAUUUUUCAAUGUAACCAGAACAUUAAGUGGUACACCACGUGUCAUUAUGCAAAUAGUGGGAUAUGUGUGUUAAAAAGUUAAUAACUUAAAAAACAAAAUUUCUCACCACUUGCAUAAAAACACUUAAUGCACCCCGUGUUUCCGUCUCAAUGAAAAUUUUCUCCUCAUUUUGGUAGACCCGAACACUGGAGUCCCACGUGUCCUGAGAAAGACGGAUAACUUGCACGGCUGUCGGAAACCAAGAAUUUCUCCACGGAAAGUGUUGCGGUGUCAUGUUGGAUGGGUUUGGGCCUCCGUGAGGACAUAGUAAUAAUGGGCCAAAACAAAGCAACUGUGGUCCAGCGCAGCCCAGACUCUGAAACAAAGACUCAAAUUACAAUAACACCCUCGUUCGUUUAUUGAAUACCCGAUCUACCCUCCAACCGCCACGAAUCCCCGCGCGCCGUUUUCCCCUUCUUCACAAUUCAAGAAGCAUCCGGAUUCCAACCGAAUCCACGCGUCAAAAGCAUACAAGCUUUGACAUCAUGUCCCAGUAAGUAGCCAACAACGAGCCCUGACGCAAAACUGCCGACGUGGCGCAUCGCCAUUGGACGAAAAUACCUCCGAUCAAAACAUAACCGAACGGAGCCAAACAGUAUAUAAACAACCCCCUCACCCUCACCUAUUUCACUCAGAAACCAAAAUUCACAAGCUCACAAAAAUCUCAACAAAAAAGGAGAAGAUUUACAGAAAAAGCUCAAAUUACAGAGGAGCUUCGAGAAGGAAAUCAAUGGAGGUGAAGAGGAUCCAUGCAUUGUCGUUCGCGUUUCUGCUUCUCUUUGUUUCAGGUACCAAGUCAUCAAAUAUAGUCCGGCUAUGGAACGAAUGUCUGUGUGUUAUUAAGUGAUGAAUACUAAAGAACGAACGUUAAUUCUGUCACGGAUAAUGUGCUCGAUUUUAAGAAUAUACGUACGGAAAUUUUUAGUUCAUUUAGUUGAUCAAUAAUUUUCAGCCUUGAGUUUGAACUUUUGAUUAUUUUUUAUUCGUAUAAUUUGCUGAAGAAUUUGGUGUUUUUAAUUUUUGUUUUGGGUAGAAUUCCUGUGUGGAAUAGCGGUAGCAGCCGAAGAUUCACCGAAGGUGGGGACGGUGAUCGGAAUCGAUCUCGGAACGACGUAUUCUUGUGUGGCGGUUUAUAAGAACGGUCAUGUGGAAAUCAUAGCGAACGAUCAAGGCAACAGAAUCACACCCUCCUGGGUCGCGUUCACUGAUACGGAGCGUUUGAUCGGAGAGGCGGCGAAGAACCAAGCCCCUCUCAACGCAGAACGCACCAUUUUCGACGUCAAGCGGCUCAUUGGGAGAAAGUAAGCAAAUUUACUUAGUAAUUUGGCUGCAAGAGACUGGUUUUUUUUUUUUUUUGUGUUUUUAAUUUGGAUUAUUAACUUUUAAAUGGGGAAAGUAAGCAAAUUUUUUACUUGCUAAAUUGGAUUAAUCGGAAGGGGAUGUGGUUUAUCUAUGUGUUUAAUUUGGAUUAUGAAAUUAGAUGGAUAAAAUUAAGAAACUUUACUUCGUAUUUGGACUGGAAGGAGUUGUGGCUUAUCUGUGUGUUUAAUUUGGAUUAUGAAAUUAAAUGGGAAAUUUAAGAAAAUUUACAUGAUAAUUGGAUUGGAAGGGGAUGUGGAAUUGUGGCUUAUCUGUGUGUUUAAUUUGGAUUAUGAAUUAAUUGGGUUCUGUUCGAUUUGGUGUUUUGAUCUGUAGGUUUGAUGAUCCAGAGGUGCAGAGAGAUAUUAAGUAUUUACCCUAUAAGGUUGUGAACAAAGAUGGGAAGCCUUACAUUCAGGUGAAGGUUAAAGGUGAAACCAAGGUUUUUAGCCCUGAGGAAAUCAGUGCUAUGAUUUUGGGGAAGAUGAAGGAAACCGCCGAGGCCUAUCUUGGGAAGAAGAUCAAAGAUGCCGUGGUAACCGUUCCAGGUAAUGCUCGAAAAUCUCUUUGACAAAUCUUUUAUAGCCCUGUGGACGGUUGUUAGAUAGUACAAUGAGAAGACAUAGGGUUUAUGUUAUUGUGUUCAUUGGUCUGAUGGGUUUGCUUUGAUUGGUUCUUGUAGCGUAUUUCAAUGAUGCGCAGAGGCAGGCUACAAAGGAUGCAGGCAUCAUUGCCGGGCUCAAUGUGGCUCGGAUAAUCAAUGAGCCCACGGCCGCAGCCAUUGCCUAUGGUCUAGACAAGAAAGAAGAGAAGAACAUACUGGUUUAUGAUCUUGGUGGUGGUACAUUUGAUGUUAGCAUCUUGACCAUUGACAAUGGCGUGUUUGAGGUGAGGUCUACGAGUGGAGACACUCACUUGGGAGGAGAGGACUUCGACCAUAGAGUGAUGGACUACUUCAUCAAGUUGAUCAAGAAGAAAUAUAACAAAGAUAUUAGCAAGGACAACAAAGCUCUCGGGAAACUUCGAAAGGAAUGUGAGAGAGCUAAGAGAGCGUUGAGUAGCCAGCAUCAGGUUCGAGUGGAGAUUGAAUCUCUUUUUGACGGCAUUGAUUUUUCGGAGCCAUUGACAAGGGCUAGAUUCGAGGAGUUGAACAUGGACUUGUUCAAGAAAACCCUGGGGCCAGUGAAAAAGGCUAUGGAAGAUGCAGGCUUGAAGAAGAAAGAUAUUAAUGAGAUUGUUCUGGUUGGAGGGAGUACCCGAAUUCCUAAGGUGCAACAGAUGUUGAAGGACUACUUCGAUGGGAAAGAGCCAAGCAAGGGGAUCAAUCCUGAUGAGGCUGUUGCAUAUGGUGCUGCAGUUCAAGGUGGAGUUCUCAGUGGCGAAGGCGGAGAAGAAACCAAAGGUAAUCAUAUAGUGAGAGCAUUUAUUUUGAAUUUAGUUUGCUGAUGUCAACAUAAUUUGCAAAGGACUAAAAUUUGUUUUUCCGCAGAUCUUCUUUUGCUUGAUGUCGCUCCAUUAAGUCUUGGUAUCGAAACAGUUGGUGGCGUCAUGACAAAAUUGAUUCCAAGGAACACUGUCAUCCCGACGAAGAAGUCUCAAGUCUUCACCACUUAUCAGGACCAGCAAACCACAGUAACCAUCAAGGUGUGUCUAACAGAUAAAUGCAGAGACUAGUUAGAUGGGAAUUUUUACAUUUUGCAUAGCUUGUGCUUUUCUGGUACUUUAACUAGUGUAUGUGUUUGAAAUUAAUCAGGUGUACGAAGGUGAAAGAAGCUUGACGAAGGAUUGUCGUGAGCUUGGAAAGUUUGAUCUCACCGGCAUUCCACCUGCUCCAAGGUAGUUAAUUGUUUGGGGUAAAUUUGGUCUGGUCUAACAUUUGUAAAGACGAAUUGUGUACUGAAAGCUGCAUGGUUUAACUUUUUGGUUGCAGGGGAGUGCCCCAAAUCGAGGUGACAUUUGAGGUCGAUGCAAAUGGCAUACUACACGUGAGGGCUGAGGACAAGGCCGCGAAGAAGUCUCAAUCCAUAACGAUCACAAAUGACAAGGGGCGUCUAAGCCAGGAAGAAAUAGAGAGAAUGGUGAAGGAGGCUGAGGAGUUUGCCGAGGAGGAUAACAAAGUGAGGGAAAAAAUAGAUGCCAGAAACAAACUUGAGACCUACAUUUACAGCAUGAAGAGCACUGUCAAUGACAAGGACAAGCUGGCCGAUAAGAUUGAUUCGGAUGACAAGGAGAAGAUCGAAAGCACGCUGAAGGAGGCGCUCGAGUGGCUGGAUGACAACCAAAACGCCGAGAAGGAUGAUUUCGAUGAGAAGCUGAAGGAGGUGGAGGCAGUGUGCAAUCCGGUGAUAAAGCAAGUGUAUGAGAAGAGUGGUGGAAGUUCUGGUGGUUCACAGGAUGAGGAAGAACCAAAUGAUGAGCUGUAGAAACCACGAAACGCAGAAUGUUUGAGAGUUUCACUGUUCUUUUUUCUUCUCCUUUUCUUUUUGGCGGGUGUUAAGAGCUUAAAAUGUAGCAUGAUUGAUAGUGUCUAUGUAAUAGUAUGUAUAUUUGAACAUUCAUUUCGAACUUUUAAUUCCGAAUGAAAAUUAGAGUUUUUUGGGUUUCAAGUUUCGUUGUUCAAGCAAGGGCGGAUCCAAUAUUUUUUUUUUUGGGUGGGCUAGUUGAAAAUAGUACCAUAUGUUUAUUUUUUAGGAAAACUAAUGAAAAGGGCUUGAAAAAUUUGAGUUUUAAUGAUAAGGACAAAAUAAAGGGUAAAGUGAAUAGUAUCAUGAUUGACUUUUUAGUGUAAAAAUAUGGUUUUUCGUUAAAGUGAACCGUACCGGGUGUUUUUCACCUUUUUUUUUUUUGCUUAUAUAAAGUUAUAUAAUAAUCAAUAUAAAAAAACAACAAUAUAAUGUAAAUUAUUCUCAAAAUUAUAACCCUAACCAAUCAAUUCAAUGACCAUAUAAAUAAUUAACAUACUAAUUAAAUCAAGAAUAAGUAAAUAAAGAGAUUAAGAAUGUACCAAAGGUGACAUUCAUUGGAAAAUUGCAACGGAAAGUAAGGAAUUGCAAAAAUAGGGGGUUUAAUUGUGGAUUUAAAUAAGGGAACUUUAACGAAAAGCACCCGGUACUGUUCACUUUAACGAAAAACCACAUUUUUACACUAAAAAGUCAAUCCUAGUACUAUUCAUUUUACCCUUUAUUUUGUCCUUAUCAUUAAAACUCAAAGUUUUCAAGUAUUUUUCAUUAGUUUUCCUUUUAAAGAAAUUAGUAUUCUUUUCUUGAGUAAGAAGCAUAGAGGCUAAAUUACAUAGGGUAAAUGGUCUUUUUCUUUAAAUAAUAGGAUAAAGGGGACUAGAGAUAUGACUAAUUUAUAAUUUUUAGCAUAAAACGUAUUAUUUACUACCUAUCAUCUACUAAAUAUACAAUAAAUAAUAAUAUGUAUUGAAAUUGAUAGACUAUAAGCAUGAAUAGAUCUAUUCACAAACCCAUUUUUACUUCCAACACAACCUUAUUAAUAUUUUAUCAGUAAUCAUCUUCAAUUUAUUCGAUCCGAACAAUCGACGGUUAAAAGAAGUGUGUAAGAAGUAAAGAUUAGUAUAUAAAUAUCACUACCCUUACAGAAAACCUCCAUGAUCUAUAGCCUACCUUAGCCUUGUGGGUGGCUACGCCAUUGUGUUUAAGGAUAAACACGAGAAAACAUAACAACUCGUACGAAUGUGGCCCUCAAGAAAAUUAACACAAUACCACAAUUUAACACGUGAUGGAAUAAUGAGUGAGAGGCAAUAGAUCGUGUUAAUGAGGGAGAGGCAAUAGAUCGUGUUCGAAUUUACCUAGCUAUAUUUGUAUAAUAUUCGUUUUAAUUCAUAAGUUGAUCAGCACAUUGAACAAUAUUAUAAAUAAUGACUUAUAAACUAAUUUAUCUUUUGCAGAUGUUAUUUAAUUUAUAUUUUCCGUUGAAACUUAUUUUAUCUCAUUUUAUCCUUUGAAACUAUCAUUUUAUAUUUUUAUUUAUUAUUAAAGUGUUUUUGCAUACUUUGUAUUAGGGGUGGGUUCAAAAAACCAAACUGAACACUAAACCGAGAUCGAAAAAAUCGAACCGAACAAAAAAACUGAACCUAAAUGAAAAAACUGAAUCGAACCGAAUUCUUUUGGUUCGGUUUCGGUUUCGAUUUCAGUAGUCUAGAAACCGAACCGAACAAAAUUAAUUAUUUUUUGUUUUUAUAUUUAAUGAUCUGUUUUGGGUAUUAUUUUCUAAACCCAAUUUGUAGCCCAAAUAUGCUAAACCCAAUGUGUUGCCAAAUUUUAAGCCCAACAUAUUAGAAAAAUGAAAACUAAUUAAAAAAAACUUGAAACUUUGAGUUUUAAUGAUAAUGACAAAAUAAAAGGUAAAAUGAAUAAUAGCAUAAUUGACUUUUUAGUAUAAAAAUAUGAUUUUUCGUUAAAGUGAACAUUAUAAAAAGUUUUUCGCAUUAAAAAAGACCUUUAGUAACUCUCUAACCCCAAACUUUAAAGCCCAAAAUAUUGUUUCUUUACCAAUAUCCAAAUUUAAAAAAAAAAUCAUGAAAAAAAACCAAACCGAAUAGUAACUUCGGUUUGGUUUCCAAUUUCGACCAAAAACCGAACCGAACAUAACCGAACCCACUCUUACUUUGUUUGAAAGAUUGUACGAAAGAUUCUUGAAUAGUGGAGAAUUUUUGGUGCAUAAGUUCGAUUGGACGUUGCAUGGUGGAGCAAGAACGGAGGAUUUAGACGUGACCGAGGUUUAACCAGACACCUUAAGUACCAUCUCGAGGCCAUUGUCAUCCCUUCCAUCUUUCAUUCUUUAAUUAUUAAUUUAUUACACGCAAUUAUGAUUGGUAUACAUGACAGAUUCUCUCCUUGAGCUAUUGCCUACUCGAGAAACCGAGAUAUUGAUAACAUAGUUGGAAAAACAUCUUGGACUUGGCUUCUCUGCCCUCCCACUUCUCAUACACUCUUAUCUCCUCUUAUUUGUACGGUAACGGUUAAGUCACGUCAACAUUUUAUAUUACUAUUGUUUUUUGUCUUAUUAUCUCUAUAAAAAAAUCAAUAUAAAAUGUUGACAUGGCUUAAUCGUGACGGCAAAAAAUAGGAGGGGAUGAGAGUGUAUGGGAAGUGGGAGGGAAGAGAAACCAGGUCCAAACAUCUUUGUUCUUUGGUGUACUAGGUGAUUUGUACUUCAUAAAUCUAAUUAGGCACAGUUUUUAUACAGAUUAUGUAUAAACUGGAGAAACAUAAACAACAAGCGCAUCUGGUGUAGUGGUAUCAUAGUACCCUCCCACGGUACUGACCAGGGUUCGAUUCCCUGGAUGCGCACCAGUUUUUCACAUUUUAUACCUUUUUCACAUUUUAUACCUUUUUCACAUUUAUUCAUUGCCACUUAGUUUUUUACAUUUUAUACCUUUUUCACAUUUUAUACCUUUUUCACAUUUAUUCAUUGCCACUUAGUACUACAAUUUAAUAAUAUUCUCUUUUACUUGUAAGUGAGGCGUUUUGGAUUCAAUUUUUACAAAAGACAUAUCAAAUAUGAAAUAACAACCAGUAGAAGCGUAACUUUUGGAGAAAAAUUAUGUUGAGAUUUUCAAUGCAUUUCAAAUAAUAAAGAGAUUUUACAUAAUUUCAAAGAUAAUGUCACGCAUUAUGUGCCUUAAAAGAUGGUGGGCAAUUUUCUUAAAAUGCCAGGCAAAACAAAAGGAAAAGUUAUAUGGCAUCCCUUAAAGUAAUGAAUCUUUAAUUAUGUUCCUUCUUUCUUCCAUUGUUCUCAUAUCUCAUCUUUAAUUCUUUAGAAAUCCAACUACAUGGAUAUCGAUUGUCAUAUCCCGUCCCGAGAUUCUAUUCUCGAGGUUGUGAAACGACGAAACUGCCAUGGCGGUUACUAAAGUAUGGGUGUGACAUAUUAUGAAUAAUAUAUAUUCUUCCCUAAGUUUUGGAAAAAUUGGAAUUUGAUUAAAGGAUGUGUGUAUAUAUUUGUGUGGUUAGAGAAUUAAAGAGUGGAAUAUUUUUGAGGGACCACACACACACACACGGGACUCCCUGUCCCUUUCCCUGUGCCCUCUAUCUCUCUCCCCUUCUCAGUUCUUCCUCUCUCCCUCUCGACUCGUACGGACGAGGCACCAAAACCCUCCAACCUUCACGGAUCGAUGUCAAAAAGGUAAGUUUGUGAAUCCGUGCAAGCUUGUGAGUUCAUUGGUGUAAUUUUUAGAACUUGGAACCCUCGAUAUCACGUGAAAUCCAAAACUCAUUUUGAGAUCACUGUUCAUGCACACGUGAAUUGUUGGAUUUCAGGAAAUUCUAAGCUUAUAGUGAGCUUAGUGAGGUCCUAAUGAAGCUCAGAGUACUUAGUUUGAAGGUUUUGGACGUCGGGAUCAUUGAGUUCAAAAUUGGCAAGUUUUCUUAGAAUUUUUCCGGUGAGAUUUCGUUAUUUUUAGAGCCUUAAAUUAGUCUAAUGUGAUUCUACAUGUUGAGGGCUUCAAAUUGAUAUAAAAUACGAAGAAAUUGGUUGAGAAAUGACGGAGAACGAGGAGAUUGAAAAAUCUCCAGUUUUCUGGCCACCAGAAAAACCAGUUCGCACGAGCCCAAGUUAGGAGACGCGCAUGGGGGCGCGUAGACCCGUGCAUGUCCAGGCGCGUGGGGGUGCGUGACAAGCCCAAUUUUUUUUUCUAAAAAUAUGUCGACGUUCAUGACGUCGAGUAGGUCACUGUGGUAUAUUCAUAUACCCAAAUUGAGCACCGUAUGAGAAGUUAUUUCGAAUUGUCGGUUAUGUGCUUUAAUUAACGUUUUUAUAGUUGUUUCGCAUAUAGGUGACACCUAUCCCGAGGACGAGCGCAUCCAGGGACGUCACGGGGGUUACGACCCAUCGACUUACCAGUGGAUAGGCAAUAUUUUAUGUUUAUACCUAUAUACUAUUGAUUUUCCCAUAAAUUGAAUUUAAAUGAAAGUAGGUUUUAAAAUGCCAUGCAUGCAUAUUGUGAAUUAUAUGAAUUGAUAUUUGAUGCAUAUAUAUAUAUAUAUAUAUAUAUAUAUAUAUAUGUGAAUUGGUGUUGUGGACGCACAGGUGAGUAUCAGGUGAGUUUUAUGUUAUUUAUGUGAAUUAUUGAUGAUAUGAAUUGUGUUGAGAGCUCAUAACCUGCACCUCUGGUGUUAGUGCUUAUAGUAUUCACCGCACCGCACGCUCACCUUUGAUCCAAGUAGGUGCAUGUUGUACAGACCAUGAGAGGGUUCCGACAUGCUAGUCGUACAGACCAUUAGAGAUGGUUAGGACUGGUAGGUGACCUUACAUUAUGCGCGCAAAUGAUUGAUGAGAGAAGCAUUAGAGCGUAUUAUUUCACCAUUCUUGUCGUACAUACUACUUCAGGUAGUUCCGACUUAUGUGCAGAGUAACGCCGUACAGGUCACCGUGGUGACUCCGGCUGGAUUGGAUAGCGAGCUAUAGAAUUAACCGUACAGGACCAACUACAGGGUCUCCGGUUGAUUCAUUAUGUCACCUGUUAUAUUGAUGCAUCCAUAUUCAGUCAUUGACAUUAUUGCAUGGCAUACUUGUUGGAUUUUGGUAAAGAUUAAUGUUUUGAGAGAUUUGAACAAAUAUAAUGCUAUUAUGUUAUUUUCUGGGAAAGUAUACAGGUUUUACAGCGAGGGGUUUUAAUUGUUUUAAAUGAAAUGUUUUGGAAAACUUUGGUUUUACUGACCCACUCAAUUUUGUUUUGCGCCCCUCCAGGUUCUAGUUAGCAGUUGGUGGCUCACGAGGUUUUCUUCGGCGUUCUGACAGACUGCCUGCAUGUAGGACUCACCUGCGGGUGUUGUAAUUUAAUUAUAGUCCUACUUGACUGCACCUAGUAUUUAAGCUCUGAAAUUGUGUACUGCACACUUAAACUCACUCUAGCAUGCUAGUUGGAUAUUAGUGCUAGUAGUUGGUUUUUAUUCCUUCGUAUUUCUCAUAUCUUUUGCUUCCACAUCGCACUUUUGGUUACGUCACGCUCACGUGACGGCCAGCACACCCUGAUUCUAGGAUCGGGGUGUGUCAUCGAUCGUGUAAUUUUCUCCCUAAUAGGCGUCUCUUCCUCACUCUUCUUCUUCUUUGUGCCGAAUGCAACGAGUUUUACACAUUAACUAGCGAACUCAAUAGGGGAAAAUAUAAAUUUGGGACAUUAUUUACUUUUAUUUUUUUAACAAGCGAGAUGUAUCUCAUAAAAUGUAAGUUUUAUAUACAUUUCCGACUAAAAUAACUAUUGUAAAUCCUGUUUAUUGGAGAGCCUUCAAGUUUGUAGUCAACAGAAAAUGUAAAUUAUAAAUUUCAAGACAUUUUACAUCUUUCGUUAAAAAUAACUAGAUGAAACCAAUAAACUAUGCGUGUGCAAUUAAGUACUAGCCUAAACCCGUACAUUUUGUAUGUAACAAUUUUUUUUGGGAAAUGUGGGAGCAACUUAUAUUUGUAUCUUUUAAAUUAGACAUAUGUUAUGAUCACAUAUGAAUGAUAAAAGUUAAAAAAUGACAAAAUUUAAUUUGUGCGAAAUUACAUAAACUGUUCAUAAUUUUCUGUAGAACAUGGACUAAAUUGUAUUUUAAUGAAUGACAAAAAAGUCUCACAGCAUUGAUCCAAAAGCAUAUGCAGCGCUCCAACUAGUCGCCACACCCAAAAGGACUUGGAUUGCCAGCAUGUCAUUAAAUCACAGCCGUUGAUCGUCAUAAAUAUCACAACCCUUCCCUUCAAUUAAAACUCAUCUCAUUGGCCGCACCAAAUCCGCACGGAUUGCCAGCGUGGCACACCCCCAUUAUAAACACCACUCACCAAACCAGUCCUGACCAAAUUCAAAUCCCAGAGCGUCGAAACAAACACUUUCCCUCCUAAACGCAUCGUUUUCGUUUCCCCAGAAAGCUCAGAGAGAAUGGAAACCACGAAAGUCACCAAGGGCGCCGGCGGAAGAAGAGGCGGAGAGAGGAAGAAGUCGGUGUCUAAGUCAGUAAAAGCCGGCCUGCAAUUCCCCGUCGGUCGUAUUGCCCGUUUCCUCAAAAAGGGCCGCUACGCCCAGCGCACCGGUACCGGCGCUCCCAUUUACCUCGCCGCCGUCCUCGAAUACCUCGCAGCCGAGGUAAUUUCACGAUCCACUUUUUUCAGAUCUAAACCUUUUCCGUUUAUAUGUGUAUGGAUAUUCAAUUUUUGCUAAUUAAUUUACGGUGGCGGAUCGAAAUCAGGUGCUGGAAUUGGCGGGAAACGCGGCACGUGACAACAAAAAGACUCGGAUCAACCCGAGGCACGUGCUCUUGGCCGUGAGAAACGACGAGGAGCUUGGAAAGCUCCUUGCCGGAGUGACCAUCGCAAGCGGCGGCGUGCUCCCCAACAUCAACCCAGUCUUGCUUCCGAAGAAAACCGGCUCCCAGGAAGGCGAGAAGGCGCCCAAAUCUCCCAAGGCAGCAAAGUCGCCCAAGAAGGCAUAAAACGCACGCCGUUCUCAGUAGGAAUAUCUACAAAGUCUAGGGGUAUUUUAGUCUUUUGGUUAAUCUGAUGUAACGAUAUGUGUUGUUUGUUGUGCAAAAAUGCAUUAAGGGUAUAUCUGGAAUUCAGUGGAAAAAUAUGGUUUUGUGAAUUAAAAUUCCGUUUCCCAUCGUAACUUGGAAUUUCAUUUUAUUUAUUUAAACGUGAAAUUUCACCAGUGCCCCUCAAAAUUUAUUAAGGAAAAAGAGAUGUUUAUCUUUAUUUAUUUGCAAGAUAAUUGGGUUAAUCCCGAAAGAAAAUACAGAAAUUGGUUCUUAAUUAGCAAUUUACCAAAAAACCCGUGGAACGCAAACAUGAACCUUAACUCCUCCAAACCCGCUCACGGUAAAUCCUGGAUAGCUACGUGUCUCUUUUGCAGCCGUCGAUCGUAUAAAAUCACGGAUCGCCCAGGUGGCGCAUUUCCCUAUAAGAACGACCGGCCAAAUUCCGCGGUUCCCAAAUUUAAAAUCAGAGCGCUACGAAGCCCUUGAACUUUCCCUCCAAAACGAUCGUUUCACUUGUAAACCCGUGAGCGAGGAAAUGGUCGCCGCGAUCAGCGGAGGCUUCGGUGGCAGGAAAGGCGGAGGGAGGAAGAAGGUUACUAAAUCGUCCAGGGCUGGCCUGCAAUUUCCGGUGGGUCGGAUCGGCCGUUUCCUAAAAGCCGGUCGCUACGCCCAGCGCAUCGGCACCGGGGCUCCGAUUUAUCUGGCCGCUGUUCUUGAAUACCUCGCUGCUGAGGUAGUCUUACAUCUAAUUUACAUUUUUUUUCCUCAAAAAUCAAAAUAUUUUUAGUCUGGUCUGGUUAUUGUGUGAAAAAUUCUCUUGAAAUCGUUCUGUUUCUAUUUGCUGUUUGGUUGCCGAGAAAAUUCGGCAAACGAAAAUGAGAGCUGAGUUUUUUGGGUUGGUUGUCGAAUUAGGUUCUGGAAUUGGCUGGGAAUGCGGCACGUGACAACAAGAAGAGUCGAAUCACCCCGCGGCACGUGCAAUUGGCCGUGAGGAACGACGAGGAGUUGGGAAAGCUUUUGAAAGGAGUGACCAUCGCCAGCGGGGGUGUGCUUCCACAUAUAAACCCCGUUUUGCUUCCGAAGCCGGCCUUCAACGGUGGUGAUGCCAAAAAGAAGGCUGCGAAGUCUCCCAAACCCGCCAAGACCGUCGCCGAUAUCCCUUCCGCUCCCGCCGCUGAAUUUUCUCCAAACCCGCCUGCGGCGGCUGCCGAUUCAGCUUCUGAUGUUGCGGAAAAUGUCCCCAAUUCCCCCAAUGCUUCGAGGAGCUCGUCGUCUGGUGUUUCUGGUUUAUCAACAACUACAUGAUCAUGAAUGUCAGUGACUGAGUAGGGAAGUUAGGUAAUUUAGUCUGUGUUUUGGAUUUUGGUUUAUGGGGUAAUCACUGGUUUAGUGAGUAGUGCUCAAAUGGGACUUGUAGAGGGUUGGAUAUACUCUGGGCAGCCUCCAAUGGAUUUUUCUUGCUUUUGUGAAUGGAAAUGGUGAUCAAAAUGCAACCUUUUUGGUGAAAAUUUGACUUUUCGAAAUGCAAGUGGUUGGACACAUUGACCUGUCGAAUUAGCCUACCUCACAUAUGCAACUAAUAAUGUUCUUCGAAUUUCUCCCUUGUCCUUGAUUUUGGCUUCGAGACCCAAUUUUCUAAACAUGCCAAGAUGUUUCAAUGGUCAAUUUGAUCUCUUUUCAGUUAGCUUUCUCCAUGCGAAUAGAUGAAAAUAGAAUUCAGAUCCUCUUCGGAUCUCGCAGUCUAGAGCUGACGGAUAGCGUAAUUCGAGCCGUUCAAGAGAGUUAGAUUCGAACCUUUAGGUUUUGUAAGGUGAGUUAGUAAGAUAGACUAUGGGGAUUGUAAGAUUUGAAAUGUAUGGUUGGGAUAACUUUGCUUUGUCGACUAAGGCUGUGAGAUGCAGAAAAGAUCUCGAUUCAUGAAAAUAACCUUUAAUGUGAUCUAAAAAAAUUGACAAUUGUAAUGGUAGAUGAUCGAUUGACGCAUAUUAAAGGACUCGAGAACAGUGUAGGCAAAUCAAAAGGAUGGAAUUACUUUAAAAUCAUUGCUCAAUUGAAGCGGCGGGAAGAAAAAAUUCGUGCAUGGGUCAAUAUUUCAAAAGAAGUAACGUUUUUCUAAAAUUGUUGUAGAUGGAGCUUUACCGUAGUAGCGAAAUAAAUCAUGUUUAUGCAAAAUAGUGCAAAUUCGAUUCCUAUUGAUUUUUUUUCUCAAACUAAUAACCAACUAUUUAACCCACCAACGUUUUCGCUCAUUUAAAAGAAAAAAUGAUUUGUCACUCAAUACUACGAUCUUGUGGUAUUACUCUUCACUUGGAAGUGAGAGAUCUUAAGUUCGAAUCUCGUGGAUGACUAAUUCAAUACCAAAUUAGGUUGCCCAUUAUGUGGCUUAGCCGAACUCCUCCUCCCCUUAGGGUAAAAAUAUCGAUGUACUCAAAAAAGAAAAAAAAAAAUUUGAAGAGGGUGGAGAAAAGUUUGUUUUCUUGGGCUUCAUAUGGGAAAAGCCCAUUUAAACUUGAUGGUUGGUUUGUAGAGCCCAUUCAAAACUUCUAGUACGGUCUCUGAGAUUUAAGGCGCCGUCAACAAAAGCAGAAGGGCGGGUUUAUCGCGGGGUUUUGGUGUAUUUUGCGUUCCAGAACUUCCAAACACAUUCCAGAAGCUUUCUUCUUCCCUCUACUCAUGAACGAUUUUCUGGUAUUCUCGCACUUUAAUUCAAAUUAUUUUCAAAUUUUGUUACUUUUCUAGAAACUUAUGAAUUUCCCAUCUGAUUCCGGCAGAGAAAAUUUUCAACUCGGAACCGGAUUGCCGCCAUUGCCGCCGCUGCAGGGUCGGCUUUUUUGUACACCAACGGCAGCAGAAACUCCGGUGAGCUCCAAGUUCUUUUUUUUAUGUUUGUUCCAUAUUGAAUUUUGAUCUUUUCUUGUUGUCAAACACUUUUUGCUUGCUGGGCAAUUGAGGACAUGAGAAAUCAAAUGUUGGGUUUUGAUUGAUCAAAAUAUGAAUUGAGAUCGUGACUCGUUUGAGAUGUUUUUGCGCUUAGCAUUUAUAAACUUUAAUUUGAGGCUAAAAAUUAGUGUGCUUUUAAUCGAUUAACUGUGAUUAAUAGACCAUUAUUUGUAGCUGUAAUUGUUAAAUGUCCAUAUCACUGCUCAUGAAUUGGGUUUUAGACUAUACGGCUUCAGUGUCAAUCCCUGCGCCAUUGCCCGAAUCACUGCUGCUGCUUCCAUGGCAAACGGAGCUAUUGGCUCCUCUAUUUUCUGUGGGAAGUAGUCCAGUUCCACCAUCAGAUAUAAGGAAGGAUAUUUAUGGUGUUUCCCCAUCUGAAGAGACCCCAAAGCCAUGUUCUGGAUGUUUGGGCAGAGAUUCUUUCGCAAAGGCGGCUGCAAAGGUCGGUCCUGCUGUUGUCAAUAUCUCUGCUCCACAGGGUAAGCGUACAUUUUGGGAUGUUUAUUUUUCCUACUUUGCAUUUUAUUUUGAGGUUGUUGUGUAUUAUAUUGUGAAAUCGACAAUAAUGCUAAUUUGUCAACUGAGUCUUGUAGGUGCAUAUGGGAUCACUCCGGGAAAGAGUAUAGGCUCUGGAACUAUUAUUAACGAGGACGGUACAAUUUUAACAUGUGCUCAUACUGUAGUUGAUUUUUAUGGCCUGAGAGCUUCAUCAAAAGGGAAGGUUAGAAACUACUUCCCAGUUUUCGUCAUUUAAAAUAUCACAUUGUUACAUAUAGGAAGGGCAUGUAUUUCAAAGUUUAAAAUCAUAUUUAAAAUUGAAAAUAAUUCAUGUUAGGACAUUAUUAAGGAUGUUGUAAAAUGGGGUAAGAGUCGUAAGACUGGGUUAUGAAAUGCAGUAGGUUUGAUGUUUGGUGUAACUUGGUACAGGUUCAUAUCACUUUGCAAGAUGGUAGAACAUUUGAGGGUACCGUGGUCAAUGCAGAUUUACAAUCCGAUGUGGCUAUAGUAAAGAUCAAUUCUAAAACCCCACUGCCAACAGCAAAGCUCGGCAGUUCGCGUAAACUUCAACCUGGGGAUUGGGUGAUAGCUGUUGGUUGUCCACUUUCACUUCAGAAUACUGUCACAGCUGGUAUUAUAAGGUAAGUUAUAAUAAUUUUGAGUAAUAAGGAGUUGUUCUUUUCUUUUACCGGUUAUGAAGUGGAACUUCUAGCAACACGAACAAUUUCAAGCCUUCCAUGUUAUGUAGAUGAUAGAUGUUGAGUAAGAAAAGCUAGCGUUGUGUCUUAAAUUGACAAUGGUAAGCACUAGUUCUUGCCUUUUCCUCAUUUUGUUUUCUCCCUGAAAUCUAGUUGUGUGGAGUGCGGAGAGAGUAUUUACAGACAGAUUGCGCAAUCAAUCCGGUAUCUCUCUCACUCUUCAUUGUGUGUGUCCCUUAAUAAUGACUAUGAAAUGUGCCUAAGACUUGGCUCCUUUUUCUGGUCUCUCACUUGCGUGGUGCAGGGCAAUUCUGGGGGGCCUUUGGUGAAUAUUGACGGAGAAGUGAUUGGUGUUAAUAUUAUGAAAGUACUUGCUGCUGAUGGAUUGAGUUUUGCCUUCCCAAUCGAUUCAGUCACCAAAAUCAUAGAGCACUUCAAGAAAAGCGGGUAUACUUUCAGCAUGAAACUCAUUAGUCUAAAGUCAUAUAAGUCUUUGACAAUUUGGUUUCCUUUAUCACAAUAUCUGUGAAGCUAAUCGGUCAUCUUUGGCAGGAGGGUUGUUCGGCCUUGGGUUGGACUAAAGAUGAUCGAUCUCAAUGAGAUGAUCAUCAAUCAGCUUAAAGAAAGAGAUCCUACAUUCCCAAAUGUGAAGAAAGGCAUUCUAGUGCCUAUGGUAUGUAUACAGUUGCUUCCUUCCUAAAUUUAUGCACAUUUAUCCAAAUAGUAGCUGAAUCUAUCCGUGUAGAAAACAUAUCAGUAGAUUCCAUCCUAUGGCAGUUUCUGAAUUGCAAGAUUUUUAAAUGGCUUCAUAGCCAAUCUGGUAAUAGUGCCUAAGUUGUUUUCCCUACCUUGAUAUGCAUCAGUAUUGUCCAAAUGGGUACGUGAUGUACAAACACAGACACGAGGCUGUUAUAGAACGUUGGGAUUCAACAAAUAACACAAUUAUUUCCACUGGGUGCUAGGAAACGAUGAAUAAGAUUAAUGCACCAUGCUCUUACUUUAACUUCAUCGUGAAUACCUUGACAUUGUACAUCCAGGGGAACGAACAUAUUCCUGCUUGAUUGUUGAGAUGGCUGGAUCGCUUGUCUGAUAAUCUGCCCAAUGUUCGUGUAGGUAACUCCUGGAUCGCCUGCUGAACGAGCUGGGUUCAGUCCUGGUGAUGUUGUUAUUGAAUUUGAUGGAAACGCUGUUGAGAGCAUCAAGGAGGUAUUGCCAUAUUAGAACCCGUACAAUAAUAUCGUUACAGUUUGGAUUGAAAGUGAAUGCUAUAGUGUGAAAUAUUUACAGUCAGUUUUUUGUUGCUGAAAUUUGUCUGAGUAGACAUCGAUAGUAUUUGCUCCAAACUUUAGCAUAUGACUUGGUUAUAUAUAUGAUUAUUCAGUAUGAUGGUUCAUAUUAUUGGUGAAAUUGUGACAGAUCAUUGAAAUAAUGGGAGACCGAGUUGGGGUGCCCAUCAAGGCAGUCGUUAUACGAGCGAGAGACGAGAUAGUGACUUUAACAGUGAUCCCAGAGGAGUCCAAUUCAGAUAUGUGAUUGGAAAAGCAUUUACGUUUCGUACAGCCUACCCUAUUUAGUGGUUUAAAGCUUUAUUGUUGUUGAAUGAAAAGCGUUUGUGUACAAGAUGUUUGCUGCGUCUGAUUCCUGUAAUCUCGUGACUAAAAAGUACAAGAGUGUAUGCAUUAGCCAGCCAGUUUGUACGUGUUCAUGUAAGCUCGAAAAAACACUCUCUAUAUUGAUGUGAAUCGUUUUGUAACUCAAAUAUCGUCUAUUUCUUCCUUCAUUGGACGAAUAACGUAGUGUGGACUUGUAUCUAAUCUUACGUAUGUAAAUCUCGCAGAAACGUACAGUAAUGUUAAAAUUGAACUAAUCCUGAACGCUGCGAAGUAGAAAUUUUGAGGCAAGUUUAUUUACAAUGUUGAAAUGUUGAACAAUCUCUAGCACAUUCCUCAUUUCCUCAGAUAUUUACGAUGUACUAAUUUCAACCCUAAGCAAUGCAAGGGACAAGAGGACGUAACGUAAUAGGAGUCAUUACCAUAACUGUAUAUUUACACUACUUCAGAGGUUUCUUCGGGCUUAAGAAAGUUAUGGUAUUCAAUCUGAGUCAUCCCUCCUCCGUUUACAGGGUCAAACUGGCAUCGGUAGAAGCUGCAUUGGUAAUCCGAUAACUGGAUUAGACGAGUAAUAUUCAGAAGCGGGAAAGAAAAGAACAAACAAUAUCAAAAUCGCUUACCUUCCGUCCAUGACAAGAAUCACCACCGUGUUCUUCUGGUGGCCAAGGGCAACAGUGUACCGCAGACCUUCCGGCAAGUGAUAUUUAGCUGCUGACCACUCUGAGCUGAAAUACUUUGGCAGCACACCGGAGAAAGAUAAACCUAGAAUUAAACCGAAAGAGACCAAGAUCAGAAUCCGCAACUGUUAUUCAUUUAGAAAUUUACGUUAAUCUAAAGCGCCUGCGGAUUUGGGAACAAAUUUUCUUGCCACCAAUGCAGCAGACAUAGGAUAUUCCGAGUAACUUUCCUUGCCACCAAUGCGGCAGGCAUAUGAUAUUCCGAGUAACAGCGUCUGCAAGUUAACCAAAGAGCCCUCCAGUGUAAACUAUGCAAAGUAUAUUACAGUUUUGAUUAUUAUUUUUUAUUUACAAAUUUUUUCAUAUAACUUCUAUUUUUUCCUAUAACUUUUAUUUUACAAAAUUUGUUUCAUAUUUUUUUAAAUUCCAUUUUUUCCUAUAACUUCUAUUUCGCAAAAUUUGUUUCAUUUUAUUUUGAAUUCUUUUUUUUUCCUAUAACUUCUAUUUCACAAAGUUUGUUUCAUAUUUUUUUAAAAUUAUGUUUCUUUCCUAUAACUUCCUAAGCCAUUAUACAACAUUAAAUUAAAUGAAGUAACAUGAAACAACAUUAAACAAUAUGAAACAACAUUAAAUAACAUUAACCAACAUACAAAUUAUACAACAUAAAAAAACAAUUAACAACAUGAAACUUAAACAAAAUUUUUAAACAUUUAACAACAUAAAACUUAAACACUUACUCCAUGCUUCUUUUGGCCUAAAGAUGUGCAACAAGAUCCUGUUGUAGGUACUUAUUUGUGGCACGAGAAUGUAUCAUUCUAUAGCGCCUCAUGUACUCAUUUAUAGAGAUACUACAAGUUCUUGGAUUGAAAGGAAAAUUAGGCCCAUCAUAUAUUUUUGCACGAGCCCUUCUUGACCUAUUUGGAUCUUCUUGGUCGUCAUCGGACUCUCCAUCAAUAUACCUAUCUCGCUCAUCCUCCAUUAUCAUAUUGUGUAAUAUGAUGCAAGACAUCAUGAUGGAGUCUAAAUUUUCUUGACUCCUUCUCUUGCCAGUUCGUUGAUGAUCUUCCACCGUGCUUGUAGAAUACCGAAAGUUCUCUCAACAUAUUUCUGGUAUGCCUCUUGGUGUAAGGUAAGCAACUUUUCUGCGUCAUUCCUAGGGUUUGGAAUUGCUUGGACAAGUGUCGCCCACUUUGGGUAGAUGUCAUAUGCCAAGUAAUACCCCAUAUUGUAUUGACGAUCGUUGAUGUAGUAGUCAAGUUGAGGUGUUUUACCUUUCGUUAAGUUAUUGAAGAAGGGUGAACGCCCAAGAACUGUAAUGUCAUUUUUGGAUCUAUGGACUCUAAAGAAAGCAUGUCAGAUCCAUGUGUCAUAUGAGGCAACUGCCUCUAACACAACAGUUGGCUUUCUCGACCUUCCGUUAAAGCCUCAUUGCCAUCUAGUGGAACAGUUCUUUCAAUCCCAAUGCGUGCAGUCUAAUGACCCUAUCAUGCCCGGAAACCCACGGUCUUCAGCUUUGCGAAUGAGCCAAUUCAAAUUCUUGAUUUGGCUCGCAGAGGUACUCGUCUGUGUAAACCUGAACAAUUGUGUCACAAAAUUGUUUAAGAGGCAUGUAGACUUAGACAUACCAUGGGUUUCAUCCAUCGAAUUAGCUGAGGAGCCAUAGGCCAUCAUUCGGAGUGCAACAGUAACCUUUUGAUGAGGUGAGAAACCGGGGCGGCAUGCUCUGUCCCGUUUCUGUCCAAAGUACGGAUUGACCCGUUGGACAUCACGAAGUAAACGCUCGAAGACAUGACGCCUCAUCCGGAAGCGACGUCUGAAAUCCUCUUCUGUGUAUACCAAGUUAGGGUUGAAGUAGUUGUUCAUUAGAUUGGCAUGCGUCAUCGCUCUAUUUCGUGGUUUGUAACAGCGACCAGUAAUAGAGCCACCCCAUUGAGGUUAUUCCUCAGUUGGCUGACACACCAUGGCCACAGUUAUGGCUGCUACUCUGUUUUGUUUGUUGUGUCUUACUUGAACUUCUUCAUUAGACUCCUCAUUUUCUCGUCUCAUUUGUGCCCAUUUUGCUUCUCUUUUGGAAUUGGAUGAGGACCCCCAAUUGGAAUCUGAAGAGGAUCCAAAGUUGGAAUUCAUUGCAAACUUGAAUUGAAAUAGAUUGAAUUCAAAGUUGUGUGAAUUAUAUCCCAAUAUCCACCCUAUUUAUAACAAAAAAAAAUUCAAAUCCAACGGCUAGCUGAUGUUACUUAGCCAUUGAAUUUGAAUUUAAGUUGUAGUUUUUAAAUAAUAAAUUAUAUUUGGCUUUAUGACCCUUUGACCCUCGGUUGGAGACGGUUUUUUAUGACAGGGCUAAAACGAGCCAUCUGGCCCUCUGGCCCUCGGUUGGAGACAGAGGCAAAUAUGACCCUGUACUGUUCAUUAAAAUAUUAAUAUCUUGGAGGAUCUUGGAGGGCCAGAUGACUAAAACGAGCCAUCUGGCCAGCCAUCAGUUGGAGAUGGCCUUACCUACACAAGAUAUCAAGUAAGCUCUCAAAUAUAGCACACAGAUCCACAGCUUGUAAUGCCACAUAUGACACCUAAAUUUAUGACAAAUUGGUUCCCGAAUCAUGCUUGGACCUUGGUUUUCGGGCUUCGCUCAAACUUCGGUUGCAAGGAAACCGCUACCAUGUCGAUUUUGAGCCUAAAACCCUUAAUCAAGCAUGAACUAAAUCCUAUCAAUCAUGAAUGUCAGACUCAUUACUAAGACAAAUUGUUCCCAAAAACCAAACUUUGACAAAACUUCAGAGGACAAUAAUUUGAUUCAGAUUCGAAUAAACUUCAUAGGCAUGAACAUUAGCACCCAAAAAACACAUUAAUUUGAAAACAUUAAGAAAAAGAAUUUAAAUUUAAAUACCUCUUGUAGUAAUGAACCAUCCAAAGCAUUGAAAAUCCGAAUCAAAGUCCCUUUACUGAUGGCCGUAACGAGCAGCCGACUGUCCUGAGUGAGCCCCAAGCAAGAAAACAUAGAAUCGUGGGCGACAAUAAACUUGGUCCGCUUUGACCCGUAAUGGUCGACCCGAACUUGACCCUUAUGGAGCCCCGGGCAAACCAGCACGGGGUGACCCGAACCCUGCGAGACCUCGUAGAGGCCUUUGGGGUUUGAGAUGGUCAUGAUCUAAUGCUUGAUCGUUAAGCCGGUGAUAUUGUAGAGAAAGAUUUUGUGCUCCAAAACGACGACGAUACGAAUAAAGAAGGUGGGAGAGGGCGUUAGAUAAUCGACAGUUGGUACUUCGUUUUCAUGUCGAAUCUCUAUAACAGUUGACCUCACUUAGUGGAAUAAGGUGGUGUUGGUAUUGUUGUUGUAUACAAGGAAUAAUUUCUGGGCUGCCAUUGCUUGAAGGUCUACGUAAUGAGAUUAGGGUUUGUUUAAAUAUUUGGAGUAUAGAGUGCGAUGAGUUAUGGAAAUGUUAGAUGGACUAGCAAUCUAUAUAUGUAUCAAUAUCGAUGAGGAUGCAAAAAAGGUUAAACAUUGAUGAUAAAAAUCAAUUGAAUUUAACUAAUUUUAUCGGAACAAUUCAUCCGAGAUAUAUAUAUAUAUAUAUAUACACACACACAGAGCUUAAGGGGAGGGAUCCCCAUUUUUUGAAAAAAAUGGGGAUUAGGUGUGAGGCCCACUUCACAUCAAAUUUCAACGAUCCGAACCGUCUAUUUUGUUAGUCUCGAUUCAUAGAUCAUCCUUGCAAAAAUUCAAUUCAAUCCGAAACCAUUUGCAUAUUUAAUUAUCAAUAUCAAUUUCAUAUUUUCUUAUAUAACAAAGUAUUCGUUCAUUUCCUUGAACCCAAUUAGAUGUCUUAAACAUUUCCAAUUUAGCUAAUAUUUUGCAAGGAUGAUCUAUGAAUCGAGACUAACAAAAUAGACGGUUCGGAUCGUUGAAAUUAGAUGUGAAGUGGGCCCCACACCUAAUCCCCAUUUUUUUCAAAAAAUGGGGAUCCCUCCUCUUAAGCUCUCUGUAUAUAUAUAUAUAUAUUGUAUAUAUUGCAUGAAAGUAAUGCGCUUCCAAAUUGUUUUUGCUGCUUGUAAGAAUCCAUAUCUUUAGAGGUUAAAAAUGAAGUCAAACAAAAAUAAACUUCCAAGGGCGAAAAACAUCUUGCACUACCUAAAAGAAUGAUUGUAUAGGAGUAAGAUUUUCUCCUCUCUAAAAUCUCACUCUUCUUAUUUUUUCUCACAUAUUUUUCUCUGUAUUGUUCUCCCUAUAAAGAAGUUAACACAAAAUGUUUAAUCGUAAGUGUUCAAAUAGAAAGGGACUGGAGGGAAAUGAAAAAAUGGAAGAGGAGAGCAUCUGGAUUUAAUUGUAUAUGGUAUCUAAACCUUUGAAAGUAGAAAGAGAAAAUUAAAGCUGACAAAAAAGAAGGAAUAAAUAAUAUUAAUAUAACAAUAUCGUAGGAAGUUGAAUUCGAAUUAGGAAAGACGCUUUUACUGAUUGGAAUUAUAUGGCCACCCAGUUCCUGUAAAGCCAACUUAAUCUUCAGCUAGAGAAAAAACAGAAUAAGCAUAGUGGAAGCUACGAGGCACUUUGACAACGUCUAACAAGUAAGAACUCAGUGUCUAUGACAACAUUGUAGAUACAUAAAGGCCCCACACAGCAGCAUAUGUUUUGUCUUCAAAUACAAAAUAUUAACUUACUGUUGUAACACAUUUGAAUAUCUAAUUUUUCCAAUCUACGACAUCCGAAUAUCUGAUGAUGUAAAUCGGGACCGAUUUUGUGUUUUAGAGAUUAAGAAACUGCAUAACCGAAUCAUUAACUUCGCCCAAACUAACUUGAAAUUAUUUCUAAAAUAUAUGGUAGAAUAUAGUUCCAAUAAAAAUAUAUAUAAACAAAGAGAAGUGAUCGAUGCUCAUUUAUAUUCAUUUUUUAUCUUUGAAUUAAAUAACCGAAGAAGAAUUACGGGACAUAUAUAAACAAAAGUGUGAAUGAUAUACAAAAAUCAUUCCCAAAACAAGUAGCAGCUAUCAUCAUUUUGAUUUUGAAUGAAGAAUUUGGGUGAAGAAACUCCAAAACUCAACCAAAGUUAUAUAUUUAUUUACUUUUAAUCUGGACAAUUACAUUAUGUGGACCUGACUAUGACAUUGUUUAUAGUUAGGUUAAGGCAUGUGGGGUUCACAACAAAAUGUCAAGCCAAUUGCUAUGGUGUGAACUGAAAGAUGCUGAUAGUAACUCAUGAGGCCAACACUCAAGAAAAUGUUUAAAUUACUCUCUAUAUAAAUCAGUAUUGUGUGAAAGUAUAAGUAGGAGAAUCUUUAUCCAACUUACCUCGUCUUGGAGUUCAUGGGGAUCUAAGCUAGGCCUUAUUUAGGUUAAGGAAUUGUUUCUCAUUAUGAUAUUGAUCAUGUAACAUCGAACAUCUAAUUAGGUUUUUUAAGUGUCUUCAUGUCUAUUUAUCUAGGUGUUAAUUUUUUCUCUUAAUUUAAUAAGAAACGUGCGUUGAGCUAUCAUGCAUAUAUAAUGUGUAAAACUCUGUAUCUUUGAUGAGGAUAUACAUUUCGUGUUUUACAUUGUUCUACUUCGAAAAUCUAAUAUAGUCUACAUUUUUAUUUACAAACUCUAAUGGUAAUUAAGAGUAAGUACUAUUGUUAAAUGUAUGAUCUUAUCAGUUGUCACUAGCUUGUGAUCAUGAGUGCCUACCAUAAAAAGGGUUUUGAGGACUCCUUUCUCCCUUUAUUUAUUUAUUUAUAUUUAGGUCUCAUUUGUGCGUUCAAUGUAAGAAAAAAAGAGAUGGCAUCAUUUUCUCCCAUCGCUCUACAUCACAUAUCACUACUUUUCCCUGCUGAACUAACCAGAACCGUUGGUAGGGAUGGCUUGCUACUUUACCUAUUCACACACAUAUUUUAUCUAUCACACAAUCUUAAUUUUUAUUAUUUUUCUUUUCAGGUGUAUUUUCUAUUUUAAAUAGAAUGUGAAUGUUAUUUUCUUCCUCAACAAGACUAUGUUCUACAAAUAUAUGUGCCACCAUAAGAAAAAUAAUAUACAAGAAAAUUCUAGCAUUUUUGUAAAAAUUUGGAUAAUACUAGGGAAAUAAUUUUUUUUAUUAUCAAAUAAAAUUAUUGUUGAUAAUUAGGUUAUUAAUUAACUGUCAAAUAUUAAAUUAUUUAAAAUUUGAUUUUCUUAACAUUAUUCUAGAAAUUUUACAGAACUCGUGAGUACUAAUUGUUACACUAAUAAAAAAAAUUGAGGUGGCAAUCGAGGUGCGAUGGACCUACAAUCACAAUGCAUUAUAAAUCAAUAAUCAACUCGCAACCCCUCACAACAUGGACCCCACAAGUGCCCACAAAUGACGACUCCUUGGAGGAUGUCACCAAGUAAGCCGUGGAGAUUUUUCUCAAGAGUGUUUGAAACUUCGAUUUUUCAUUCUUAUUUCCCAAUAGUAUUUGAUCACCAUAUCCUCAUAGUGUCGACAUGUGUUGCCAGGGAGAUGCUUUGGUACAAAGAGUUUGCGAAUUGUGUGAGAAAAUCUCAAACCCUCCCAAGAUGUCGACAUGCUCUUCACCCAACUCGUUCUCACAUGCAUGCCACCAAGUCCAAUCGAUGUUUCCAAGUUAUGCCAAGGGGUGCAAGAAAUAAGGUCCAACCUUAUAAGGCUAUGUGGAGAGGCAGAAGUAAAUCCAUCUUAGGUCGUGGAAAAAUAACGAGUUUGAUUCGUCUCAUCAUUUUCUUUCCAUAAAGAUAUUUUGGAUUUAAAUGGACUCUGGAAACUCCUAAAACACUAUUUCAUUGAAAUUUACAGAAUUAGCUGUAAUUCUGGAAACUCCUAACAACAUCAUAAAGAUAUUCAUAUUAUUGGUGAAAUUGUGACAGAUCAUUGAAAUAAUGGGAGACCGAGUCGGGGUGCCCAUCGGGCAGUCGUUAUAUGAGCGAGGGACGAGAUAGUGACUUUAACAAUGAUCCCAGAUGAGUCCAAUUCAGAUAUGUGAUUGGAAAGCGUUUAGGUUUCAUACAGCCGACCCAAUUGAAUGGUUUAAAGCUUUAUUGUUGUUGAAUGAAAAGCGUUUGUGUACAAGAUGUUUGCUAUGUCUGAUUCCUGUAAUCCCGUGACUAAAAAGUACAAGAGUGUAUGCAUUAGCCAGCCAAUUUGUACGUGUUCAUGUAAGCUCAAAAAAACACUCUCUAUAUUGAUGUGAAUCGUUUUGUAACUCAAAUAUCGUCUAUUUCUUCCUUCAUUGGAUGAAGAACGUAACGUGGACUUGUAUCUAAUCUUACGUAUGUAAAUCUCGCAGAAACAUACAGUAAGGUCAAAAUUGAACUAAUCCCGAACGCUGCGAAGCAGAAAUUUGGAGACAAGUUUAUUUACAAUGUUGAAAUGUUGAACAAUCUCUAGCACAUUCCUCAUUUCCUCAGAUAUUUACAAUGUACUAAUUUCAACCCUAAGCAAUGCAAGGGACAAAAGGACGCAACGUAAUAGGAGUCAUUACCAUAACUGUAUAUUUGCACUACUUCAGGAGGUUUCUUCGGGCUUAAGAAAGUUAUGGUAUUCAAUCUGAGUCAUCCCUCCUCCGUUUACGGGGUCAAACUGGCAUCGGUAGAAGCUGUAUUGGUAAUCCGAUAACUGGAUUAGACGAGUAAUAUUCAGAAGGCAGGGAAAGAAAAGAACAAACAAUAUCAAAAUCGCUUACCUUCCGUCCAUGCCAAGGAUCACCACCGUGUUCCUUCUGGUGGCCAAAGGCAACGGUGUACCGCAGACCUUCCGGCAAGUGAUAUUUAGCUACUGACCACUCUGAGCUGAAAUACUUUGGCAGCACACCGGAGAAAGAUAAACCUAGAAUGAAACCGAAAGAGACCAAGAUCAGAAUCCGCAACUGUUAUUCAUUUAGAAAUUUACAUUAAUCUAAAACGCCUGCGGAUUUGGGAACAAAUUUCCUUGCCACCAAUGCAGCAGACGUAGGAUAUUCCGAAGUAACUUUCCUUGCCACCAAUGCAGCAGGCAUAGGAUAUUCCGAGUAACAGCGUCUGCAAGUUAACCGAAGAGCCAUCCAGUAUAAACUAUGCAAAGUAUAUUACCUUUCAUGAAAGAGAGAGAUGAAAUGCCCAACGGACUCGGGUGACUGGAUUCUGAUGAACUGCUUGAUCUCUCACCCCCCAAGGAUCCCGAAUCAACCUUAACGCUGAAAACAUGGACGGUGCCCUUGUCACUUGACGCAGCUAGCCAUUGUGCACCAGAGGAGAAAGCAAGGCUGAAAAUCUCCGCUCUCUCGGCUCCUCUCCUUACCUACACAAGAUACCAAGUAAGCUCUCAAAUAUAGCACACAGCACCACAGCUAAUGCCACAGAUAACACCUACAAUUUAUGACAAAUUGGUUCCCGAAUCAUGCUUUGUUUUCGGGCUUCGCUCAAACUUCGGUUGCAAGGAAACCGCUACCAUGUCGAUUUUGAGCCUAAAACCCUUAAUCAAGCAUGAACUAAAUCCUAUCAAUCAUGAAUGUCAGACUCAUUACUGAGACAAAUUGUUCCCAAAAACCAAACUUUGACAAAACUUCAUAGGACUGUAAUUCGAUUCGGAUUCAAGUAAACUUCGUAGGCAUGAACAGUAGCACCCAAAAACACAUUAAUUUGAAAACAUUAAGAAAAAGAAUUGAAAUUUAAAUACCUCUUGUAGUAAUGAACCAUCCAAAGCAUUGAAAAUCCGAAUCAAAGUCCCUUUACUGCUGGCCGUAGCGAGCAGCCGGCCGUCCUGCGUGAGCCCCAAGCAAGAGAGCGCAGAAUCGUGGGCGACAAUAAAUUGGUCCGCUUUGAUCCGUAAUGGUCGACCCGAACUUGACCCUUAUGGAGCCCCGGGCACACCAGCACGGGGUGACCCGAACUCCUGCGAGACCUCGCAGAGUCCUUUGGGGUUCGAGAUGGUCAUGAUCUGAUGCUCGAGCGUUAAGUCCGGUGAUACUGUAGAGAAAGAUUUUGGUGCUCCAAAACGACGACGAUUCGGUCGCGCGGAGCCUGACGCCUCUGACCUCCGAUCGGAAAACGAGCUCGCCGUAGCACCGCGACUCGUCGUCGUCCCACAUCAUGACUUUGUUGGGCGGGUAAAUCGGGUCCGGACCGCCGCCGACUAGGGCGAGGAUUGGGUAGCGGAAUAGCAUUUGGACCAUUCCGACGCCCUGCUGACCGGAAUCGCGGCGUAAGAGCUCGCGGAUGGGGUCGCAGUUGUAGACGCGGAAGCCGGAGUCCGUGGCGACGGAGAAGCAGCCGUGGUCCUGGUUGAAGGACAGGUGGUGGAUCUUGGGGAUUUGGUUCGGGUUCAGGUUCGGGCCUGGGCUUGGGUAUUGGGUGGAGAGAGAGUGGGAGUCGCCGGGUUCGGAAUCGGAGGCCGAAUUGGGAGGCUGCUGUGACUGAGGCUGCGGGUGCGCCAUGUUGGGUGUGUUGAGUAAAUCGGGAGUCCAGUCUAGAAGGACGAAUUGAAAAGGCGGGGAGGAGACGGCGGUCAUGGCCUAAUCAAAUUACGGUGGCCGGCGAAGUGUUGGAAAUUUGGGAUUUUUAUACAAAUUUUAGGACAAUUGAAGAUUUUUGUCUGGUUUUUGCUGUAAAGCUUUGGACUUUGAAGUGUGCAUGAAAAUAUUUAUAGCUAGUGUUUGCACCUGAAAUGUGUACCAUUUUACUUAUUUGGGUAUUGGACAACGAUUGUCUGCCCUCCAACUGGUGUCCUUCCAUACCCUACUGUUUGUGUGGUCACGGUUAAGCCAUGUUAACAUUUUAUAUUUCAUUGUUGUCCUAUUAUCUCUAUAAAAAAAAUAUAUAAAAUGUUGACGUGGCUUAACCGUGACCACACAAAACAGGAGGACACGGAAGGGCACGGAAGUGGGAGGGCAAACAAUCCUUGUCCUUGGGUGUUUGGGUAAAAUAUGACAUUUGGGGGAUGAUGAGACAAAACAUUGAACUUUGAUGGAUAUUUGGCUUUGGAUGGGAGACAUCAUGCAGACAAUCUUGCAAAGAACAUGUGAAAGAAGUCACAUUGCUUCUUUUAAAUGUUAGUUUAUUACAAGUGGUGGAGAUGUGAGGUGAAAUCAUGUGGUGAAAUACAAACUUGCUUAUUGUAUUAUUUCACAAUGCAACCUGGCCAAACUUCUUUCGGGCAAGUUCAUUGUUCUUAGCAAGGGACUUUUAAGAUGACUAUAUAGUGGGCAGAGGCAAAUCCGGGACCGCCUCCGACUAGAGCGAGGAUUUGGUAGCGGAAUAGCAUUUGGACCAUUCCGACGCCCCGCUGACCGGAAUCGCGGCGGAAGAGCUCGCGGACGGGGUCGCAGUUGUAGACGCGGAAGCCGGAGUCCGUGGCGACGGAGAAGCAGCCGUGGUCCUGGUUGAAGGACAGAUGGUGGACCUUGGGGAUUUGGUUCGGGUUCAGGUUCGGGCCUGGGCUUGGGUAUUGGGUGGAGAGAGAGUGGGAGUCGCCGGGUUCGGAAUCGGAGGCCGAAUUGGGAGGCUGAUGUGACUGAGGCUGCGGGUGCGGCAUGUUGGGUGUGUUGAGUAAAUCAGGAGUCCAGUCUAGAAGGACGAAUUGAAAAGGCGGGGAGGAGACGGCGGUCAUGGCCUAAUCAAAUUACGGUGGCCGGCAAGUGUUGGAAAUUUGGGAUUUUUAUACAAAUUUUAGGACAAUUGAAGAUUUUUGCUGUAAAGCUUUGGACUUCGAAGUGUGCAAGAAAAUAUUUAUAGCUCAUGCAAAAUAAAUAGUUUUUAAAUUCCGAAUUUGCUAUGAACAUAUUUGCUUUACCUUCUCAGUUUAUGACACGUAAAAUGUUUUGACAACAACCCUUGUUUUUUUAUUUUUUUAUUUGUUUUUAAGGAGGCUAGCUGGUAUCUUUACUAAGGCAGUUAAUUAUUAUGAGGGUUGUGAAGAUUCAUAGAGAUGUUUUAGUUUUUUUCUGAUCAUCAUCGGUAAUUCAUGAAAGUCAAAAAUUGAACCCAAAAUGUACUGGUGUGAAAUACAUGCUUGAAAUUUAUCCUCACUGGGUCACCUAUGCCUAUUUGGUUUAGAAAUUAUUAGCAAUUCAAUGGAAAUCUCUCAAAGUGAGAAUGUCUAUCACAUCAUUUUUUUGUACAUAUUUUAUAAUAUUAACAAGAAAAUUACCAUUAAACAGCGAAGUGACAAAAAAUAAAGGGUAGUUUGUUGAAGUGACAAAAAAUAAAGGGUAGUUUGUUGAUUACGGGUUUGUAAUUACGUGCUAAAUUAGCAAAAGACAUUAUCUAUGUUGUAGGCUUCAUAGCGAUAAAGAGAGAUCUAUCAACUACCAACUAAUUAUUUAAUCAAGUAUAUCAAUGGGUUUCAUAUUCAAACCGUCCCAGACAUCCACUAUUACGUGGUUUUGUUUUGUUUUUUUUUAUAAAGGAACCAGCUGAUGGUUUGACUACGACAAUUCAUUUUUUUGAGGACGAAGAAGACUCACAUAAGUAUUUCAGCCUCUUUCUAGUCGAUAUCAUAUAAUUCACCGAGUUACAAGAAUUAAACGCAUGACGUACAGUGUGAAAUAGGAGUAUGAAAUUCGUCCACAACCACUAAACCAUUUCAUAGGAGUUCUAUUACGUGGGUUAAUUAUUUGAGAUGUUCCUUUCCCAAUGAAAAAAAUAUUAUUAGAAUAAUUUUCCUAUUUUUACUAGGAAAUUCUCACUUACAUGGAUCUAAAUCCUAUACGAGUCGGGAAUUAUAUAAGUAUUCAAUUUUGAGGGUAAUAUGUGAGAUAGAUAAUAUAUGAGAUUGAUAAUAUGUGCAUAAGCAAUUCAGGGUAGAGAUUAUAUUCUAUUUAGGUUGAAACUUGACAUGGAUGGGCAAACCAUCAACCAAAUCUAACUGAAUAAAUAAUGGGGUUGAGGUAGGGUUGGGUUUGGGCAAAUUUUUAGUUUGUUCUAUCUCGUAUGUUCAUAUUUAAAAUCAAGUUACGCAUCGAUGGAUUCGAGUUGACACAACUCAAAGUUGCACCCUUAGUGAGGAGCAAAUUUUUACUAGGAAAUAUCCUAUAUAAAUUUGGUAAAAGAUGAUAAUAGGUAGACCAAAUUUUUAGAACAAAUUUGUAAACUGUAUGAUGUCACAUAUUUGAAAGGGAAUUAUUAUUGACACUCUUAAAAUGUUUUUUUCUUUCUGAACAUAGAGAGUUUUGACCACAACAUGAGAAUUUGAAAAACCAAUAAUAAUUUAUAUAUGAAAUUAGCACGUUAAAACACUUAAUUCAAUUAUUAACAAUCACGUUAUAUAAUUUAUACAAUAUAAUUUAAAUAGAAUGGGGCCUCCAACAUUACCCGUUUGGCAAAUAUGUCCAACAAUUAUGCAAGUGACCAUUUUUUACAGUGGUGAAAAAGUGUUGAGUCCCUUACAUGAUGACAUAGGUUCAAAUUUCGUCCAUAACUAAUCUAACAUCUAAUGUAACAAAAUCUAUCGUUUAACCAAAACAAAAAAAAACUAAUGAAAAUGGCUUGAAAACUUUGAGUUUUAACGAUAAAAACAAAAUAAAAGAUAAAAUGAAUAGUAUCAAUGUUAACUUUUAAUGUAAAAAUAUAAUUUUUCCACUUUUCGUUAUAGUAAAAAAAAAAAAAAAAAAGUCCAACACUUACAAAUUUUCACCCUAACAGCCACUAUUUCACUCUCCAGGUUGAACAAAAAAUCCCCAAUUCUCCAAAACCAUCUCCAACUAGGAUUUUUUAGGGUUUAAUCAAAUUCCAUCUACGCUUCUCGCCUGAAUCAAUCUCUACUGCUAAUCAAUCGCAAUGGCUCGUAACGAAGAGAAAGCGCAGUCGAUGCUCAAUCGAUUCAUUACCCUCAAAGCCGAAGAGAAGAAGAAGCCAAAAGAGCGACGCCCAUACCUCGCCUCCGAGUGCCGCGAUCUCGCCGAGGCCUCCAGAUGGCGGCAACAAAUCAUGGGGGAGAUCGGCCGGAAAGUUGCCGAGAUCCAGAACGAAGCCCUCGGGGAGCACCGGACCCGCGACCUCAACGACGAGAUCAACAAGCUAAUUCGAGAGAAGGUCCAUUGGGAGCGGCGGAUUGUGGAGCUCGGAGGCCCAAAUUACGCCAAAAACGCCCCUAAGAUGACCGACCUCGACGGCAAUAUUGUCGAUGUUCCAAACCCCAGCGGCCGCGGCCCCGGGUAUCGGUACUUUGGAGCGGCGAAGAAGCUGCCCGGAGUCAGGGAGCUUUUCGAGAAGCCUCCGGAGCUGAGAAAGCGGAGGACGAGGUAUGAUAUAUACAAGAGGAUUGAUGCUAGUUAUUAUGGGUAUAGGGACGAUGAGGAUGGGAUUUUGGAGAAGCUUGAGGUAGAGGCGGAGGAGAAGAUGAGGGCGGAGGCGGUGGCGGAGUGGAAGAGGAUGGAGGAGAUAAGGCGUGAGGCGAGGAGGGCGGUGAAGAGCGGGGAGGUGGUGUCGGCUGCAAAGGUGAAGGAGGUUUUGUUUGAGGAGGAAGAGGAGGUGGUGGAGGAGGAGAGGCAGAGGGAGAGGGAAUUGAAAGAGAGGAGUGAGCAGGAGAGGGAGUUUGUGGUGCACGUGCCGCUGCCGGAUGAUAAGGAGAUUGAGAAGAUGGUGCUGGAGAAGAAGAAGAGGGAGCUGCUGAGUAAGUACACCAGUGAUGAAUUGAUGGAGGAGCAGACCGAGGCUAAAGAUAUGCUUAACAUUAAGCGCUAGACUUUCGACCGCCAAGACAGAGUAUGUUACUCAUUCACUGAUAGAAAGUUGUUACCUUUUCGCUUAUCAAAUAGUUGUUACCUGUGUUAAGUAUUUGUAAAAUUUUUAGAUGAUGAAACAUGUUCGAUUUGUCACCGAGGAAUUGUUUUUCGAGGAGCUGCAGUAGUUGUUAUUAUCAAUUGACUUUUACCAGUUUUGUUUGCCUUUUUUUUGCUGUAUCUUGUAUUCUUUGAUCCAAGUUUAAUUAGUUUGUCAUUGCUACUGAGUUCAUCCGCUGACCACUUUCGUUUUAUGCUAUAAGCUCCGGAAACAAAGAGCAUAUCGAAUGUUUAGGUUGUAUGAAUGUGGUUUAGGAGUACAAGUAUAAGAUUUAGGGUGUCUAAAAGUGUGUAGGUUUGGGUGCAAGUUCUUUGAAGAAGCAACCACAUUAUAAUCAUGUCAGGCAUGGUCUCUGCCUUAAUUAUAUAGGUUUUCUGAUGGUUGAGAAACUUCGUUUCCUCUUUCGGACUUAACACCUUAUGUUGGACUGAGCUUCUUGAAACAGUCCAACCUCUGAAAUAGAGCAGUAGAGUCGGAACACCUUUGCAGUUUCUAUGUAAGUUGAGGAAUAUGCGUUUGAGAUUACUGUGUUUUGGAACUUGAAAUAGCAUAUGCUUGGAACCAAGAUGGAGGUUUUAUGAAUUGUUUGAACUAUUGUGUUGGAUUGACAAUUUUACAACUGCAAGGCAUGAUGAUAGUCGUUGCCGAUUACAUCAUUACCUUGUUAAUUGGUUCUGCUACACUCUACUCCGUAAUAAACUGGGUGGUUAACAGAUAGACUGACGAGUAAACCGGGUGGUUAACAGAUAGAUUGACGAGUAACUGAAUGGUUAACAGAUAGACUGAUUGUAUAUGCGGUUACUAAUCUUCUGUAUUGUUCAUCAUCAUGUGACUUAGUUUAAGUUGUGGUUGGUUAAGUUACGUUGUAAUUGAUAGAAACCAAUUCGGUUUCUUUGUGCGUUGCUGUUAAUUUUACAUGUAUGAGGUUAUUUUGUUGAAAUUGUACAUUGCAUCGGUAGUUCGUAGCCAAAGAAAGAUGUACAUAACAUUCUCAGCUUCUUGAUCCCCGGCUCCGCAAGAAACAAGUCUUUAAUCUUUCUGCUCAGAUUGCUACCGCAUGCAUCACAGAGACCUGUAUAUUGGCAGACUGUCCUCCGGUCUUUCGUUCCGAAAGAUGUGAACUUCUUUCGGAGAAGACCGGCCUUGGCCUGCAUCGAACGCAGGCCACCAUAGCCUUGCAUCGAAUCCUGCUCCCCGGCGAUGCAAUUGUAUGCCUGAUCGUUACUGAUCCUUUGAUUGAUUCAAUCUAACGGCUAGAAAAAUAUAUACAGCUGAAUGUGAAAAUCAUUCACCAGCAGAAGAAUUAAAGAAAGAAUUGGUCCAAAGAUGAAUAAAUAGGGAAAUGAGUAAGUCUGAUAAUUUCUUGCACGAUUCGAUAAUUCAACAAGAACAAUAGGUUUUUGGUCAAUCUAUUAACGAAUCGAGUCAUUAUUAAGUUACCUGUUAAGAACUCGUUAAUGAUUUAGAUCGUUAUUAGAUUAAACGUUAAGACCCGUUGAGAUAACGAGAGUAAAAAUUACUGUUAAGGCAGAAAAUCCAUUGAUGAUUAUUCAGCAUCACAGACAUUAAACGCUAAAACCUCCGUUUACAUUAUUAUUUUAUGUACUCGCACCAAAAACCAAAAACUACAAGGAAAAAAAAAACUAAAAUAAUUACAAAUUAAACAAAUUUAAAACACCAACAAAAAAAAUUACUAGAAAUCAAAGCCUCCACCGAAGUCAUCACCACCGAACCCGCCAUCGUAAGCACCCAUCUCACCCACAUCACUAAUCAUAUCCCCAAUCAACAAUCCACCCAGCAACCCAGCUCCUACACCCAGCGCCAUGUUUCCUCCUCCCCUCUUAGGCUUCUGCGGCCGCACAACUUGCUGCGGCGGGUACCCAUACCCGGGCUGAGGCAGGUAUCCGUUCCCGGCCUGUGGCGGUGGCGCGUACCCGUAACCCGGUUGCUGAUGAGGCGGUGGUGGGUACGCACCGGGCGGCGGGUAUGGGUAAGCUUGGGCAGGUGGGUACCCGGAGCUUGACCCGGGGUGUCCGACAGGAUAAGCCAUCACGGGCUCAUGGGAUCUCUUCUGGGGCUCCGGAACCGAAAACUUGUCCCCAAAUUUGUACCCGAAAUUGAUGGUCCCCUUGGACUUUCCCCUCGACGAUCGG